rnacentral:lncRNA from 1 species
AUUUUGAGGACUUACAAUAACUCAUUCUGUAAAACAGAUUUUUCUUACUUUGGUAACAAUAAGACUAAAAGCACAACAAAACGAAUUUGUUGGUUGAUAAUGUAAAAGUUAUAACAAUGCAUGUCUACUAAACUUUUUUACUUAUAAAUUUCAGUUUUUACAUCUUGAAAUGGAGCAUUAAUGAAUUAUUAUUAUUUUUUGCGCAGACUCAAUCAUGUGCAAUUAUUUAACUUUUAUAAUUCUAUUUUGAAAUAUUAUUAGUUAAAUUUAUUUUCAAUUUUAAGAUCAUUUGAGUUUUAUAAAGUAUACAUAAAGUGUUGGGUUGAUUAGAGGAAGGUGGAAAGGAGAUGAAGGAAGUGAAUCAAGUUCUUAAAUGCUAUGUUCUUCAAAGUGGUGUCAUCUUAGAAAUGAAAAUAUAUAGUAGAUGCUUUAAGCAAAAAAAGAAUUCGAGUUGUUGGUUUGAUGGUAAAAGGAGUGGAAUUAGUAUAAAAGUUAAGGAUCUAAGCUUGAAGAAAAGUUGUGAGGAGAUUUCACUAAUGUAAGAGUUUGUCUAUAACUAAUGAGCUCUUUAAAAUGGUUAAGGAAAGGCCAUUAUGUGAUCUUGGUUUGAGAAGUAUCAUAAGGUUGUUAGGCAUUAAUUAAGCUAGAGAUUUAAAGAUGAGAGAAGAUGAAGUUCUUAGGUUCAGAAGACUUUGCGUCUCUGCAAAUGAUAAGUUAAACAAGUAGGUUGCUGAGAGAUGAUUACAUAUUAGUGGGUUAAAAAGCAAAAAUGGAACAUCUGAGGGGUUAGGUGGUAUGUUGCAAUAGUUUUAGGUGUCAGAGAGGAAAUGAGAUGACAUUAUUAUGGACUUUGUUACCAAUUUUUCACAAUAGUGUAGGGCCACAAAGCUUUUUGGGUGGUGAUGAAUAGUUCACACAUAAUGCUUUCUUCUUGCCAAUGAAUCUUAGGAUGCCCAUGUCUAAGCUAACUGAGUUGUAUGUGAAGGAGAUAGUAAAACUAUAAAGAGUAUCAUCUAGUAUCAUAUCGAACAGGAAUCCUAAAUUCACUUCCUAUUUUGGCAGGCACUACAAGGUGCUUUGUGGAGUUGUUGAAGAAUGAUUCUGCUUAUCAUUCUCAACCAGAUGAGAAAUUUGAGAGGACGAUUAAGUCUCUUGAGGAUUUGCUAAGGAUAUGUAUUUUGAAGGUGGAUGAGGUAUAGGUAAAAGAGGAUUUGUUUGUGAAGAUGGAAUCAGUAGGGAUUAAGGAGCGUCAGGUCAAGUAGCUCAAAAGAAAGGCUAUAAGUAAGGAUAGAGGAAUAUCAGACCAAGCAGUCCAUGGGAAAGUUAACCACUUUAGAUCAUUGAACACUAGAAAAAAUAGUAGUGAGGUAAAGUUUUUGAGUUGGUACCGGUGUGGUGGAACAGUAGGUUAAGCGAUGAUAUAUGGGAAAUUAGAAGAAUGAAUGAAAGAGUCUUAUGCUCAUCUUUUCCCUAUUAAGUGAAUUUUUGAGGUUAAAAUUUUUUCUACGAGAGAGAAUCUGAUACCCUAUAAAACAAUAUAAGAGUAUUGGUGGUUUUAUUAAAGAUAGAACCCUAUAGUAUUUUAAUAUUAAAGGGUUAAGUUGUAUAAAAGUUUUAAGAACUAAAGUUCUUUUCUAUAAAACCACCAUCUCUUUACAAUCAAACUCUCUAAACUCUCUUUGAAUUCUCUCUAAAUUAUCUCUCUUCGUUCUUCAUCUUUUUUACGUUCAACAACUGUAGUUGUGAUCCUCGUGAAGAGUUCUAUGCAACCACUCAAUCAAAGAGUCAAAUAGAGUAAGUCACAUUUUUGCCCUCUAUUUAAGUUUUGAGCCCUAUAGUUGCAUGUGGCUCUAGAGUUAUGAAUGUGACUUAAGGUUUCUCUUGUGACUUUUUGUUGCUCUUUGAUCUUAAUGGUAGGCUUAGAACUCUAAUCAUAAUUUUCAUUGAUUGUCUUGAGAAUCCCGUGCGUUUUGAGUGUUUUAGAAAAUCCUUGUUGAGCAAAACGUCUUUAGUUAAGGUGAGGGAAAGUAAUUGUAGUUAUUAUCUUAGUAGUUGUUUUGAUUGUUGAUUGUCUAACUUAAAACUAUGAUUGAAUGACCAAAUUGAAAUCUUUGAUGGUUGUGGAUGCUAAAACGAGAUUGAAUUAUGAUUUACAUGUUUGUGUUAUGCCUUGGAUUUUGGGUUUUAUAUGAUAAGCAAUAUUGAAUGUAGAAUAUAUUUUGGUAUGUCUAAUCUAAUAUUAGGAUUGAAAUGGGAAUUGAAAUUGUGAGGUUGAUGAUUGAUUAUUAUUUGACAUAUGAUAUGGAAUUAUGUUUACGAAUGAAAUUAUAUUUUGUGUAAAUUCUCUGGUGGAGUAUGUGUUUGACAUAAUUCUAAGAGUCUUGUGUGUAGAUUCUCUAGUGACGUAUGUGUUUGGUGUAAUUUCAGAGAUAUUGUGUAUUGAUUCUCUGGUGAUGUUGUGUUCUGUUAACAAUCUCGUAAGUAGAUUUUAUAGUGACGUUCUUUUAGUGAAUUCAAAUAUCGAAUCUAAAAUAUUAUAUAAUUGGUGUAGUUUAAAUUAAUUGAGAUGUUAAAUUAUAAACUAUCUGUAUAUAUAAUCAUAUUAAUAUUAGUUUACCCUGUUCAUUAGGAAGAAAACAUUGAAUCACAAGUCUUUCUUUUUCUUUAUACAAAGUUACCAUGUUGCUUGGUAAAACUAUUAUGUUAAUAAAUUAAUAAAUUAUUUUUUAGGGUAAAAAAGAUUUAAAUUAUGAGAAAUAUUAUAUUUGUCUAUACGCGCGGACGUGUUUGACAGAGUUUUAUUACUAGAAAUUUUUCCACACUCUCAUCAGAUUGUGUUGACUCAGUCAUUGCUUUGAUUUAAGCAACAUGAGAAUCACUUAAUAAUGAAAAUAAUGUUAAGAAUAAUAUAUGUAAAAGAAUGUUUAAAUAAAUAUGAGUUACGUCGUGUUAUUUUCGCAUAAAGUGUUGAACCAUAAUUAAUAUUUUUUAUUGAACCGUAUUUCAAAUUUAUGCUAAUAAAAGUAUUCAUAUUUAAUAUACGAUCACAGUAUCUGAACACGAUUACCUACUUUUAUAGUUUUUCACCAUUUGUAAACUAAACUUUCAAGAGUUGAACUGGAAAAGUAAACUUCUAGAAGAUGUUUUUUAUUUUCAAAAUAAUAGCUAAGACCUAUGAGACCAUUUUUAUUUUUUUACAAUUAAAUAUAUAGUUAUAAUAACUAGUCAUAGCUAAAUUGGUUUAGCACACCAUGAAAUUUCAACCAUGAACAUUCCACAUCAUCAUAUAAAGACAAGAACGCUAAAACAUAUAACACUUGUUAAUUCAAUAAUUGAAUGAUCAACUUCAAAGAGAAUACUAAUUACUAUAAAUUUCAUGCAUGAUAAUGACCAUUGCAUUGCUAGUUGGUCAUACACGAUAUAGAAAACAUUAAAAAAAAUGGAGUAAGAAAAAGCUGAUCAUCAUAAUAUCUUUAUUGAAGAGUCAAAUACUUUUUUCCACAUAUGCAAUGAAGUUUCAUAGGAAAAUAGAACUUGAAAGGUUCUAACAAGUGCUAAUGAUAUACUUAUAUAUAUAAUCAUGAGUUUUUAAUGUAUAAAAUUGAAGUAUUAAUUAUUUAAACGAUUAACUUAAUGACUAUAACACAUUGUAAAGUUCCUAAUUCGUCUACCGUUUCCACUUAAUAAUAUAAUUCAUUAUUUAAUUACUUUUUAUUUUCUCAAACUCUUAUGUUUAUGUGCAGCGUAGCACGGGAUAGAAAAAAAGAAAAAAUAGAGAAGAAUUCGAAGAACUUAAUAAUCUUUAAUGCUUGGAAUAAUCAAAACAAAAUUGUCCGUUUGAGGUGUAAAUUGUCUUAGUCUAUUGUAAAUUUUCACAAUGGCAAAACAAUGUAAAAGAAAGAACCCAGAUAUCUCCGUAAGAGUUAAAUGUGGUCCAAGUUCAGAGCUUGUUAGAGAAAAAGGUAAAUAUUGUUCAUUUAAAUAGCCAUGAAUUUUCUUGUGAAGAGAUAUAAAGAUUCUUGUUGUAUCUGGUAAUUUUAACUUAUAAUCCAUCACAAUUUAUUUUUUCUUAGCACUAGAGAAUGUUGUCUAUAUGGCUGUAGUUUGACCACCAUAUCUCAAAUUUACAGUUACACGUCUUUCCUCUUCUUAUUAACUCAAAUUUUUUAUAUAGUUCUAUGCUCUAGUUAAAUUCUACUUCAACUGUAGCAGUGUAUCACGACCCUUCAACAAUUCUUGUAAUGCAGGUGAAUCUUUGGUAUGUUGUUGAUAAAGAAUGAUAUGAAAAGAUGACGUACCAAUCCUGGGAUGAAAAGAUGUAUUAUACCAAUAUUGUGCCAUGGUAAGAGCGGCUGUUACAUUUUUUACUUUUCAAACAAAUAACAUUUCAAGUACAUUUGGAGAGUCUUAUUCAAAUUCUCUGUUUCAUCAUCUGCUUGAGAUAAUAAGAUGAACUCAUAUUCAUGGUACCUUAUGAUCACCACAAUUGCUGCCAAAAAGCACUGUUCAAGACAUAGUCUCUAUCUAAAACAACAGUUUUAGGAAAACCAUGAAUUUUCUCCAACAUCGUUAAUGAAUUCCUCUGCCACAAUUUUAUCUUUAAUACCAACUUUUAGAGGUAUAAAACGACCUGGAUAGCCUAUUGUAUACGAGAGAAGGAAGAGACGUUAGUUAGCGUAACUGUCAAGACAAUUAGGAAAGGCAGAUAGGGACUUGUAUAAAUAGGUUUGGGUUUAAUUGUAGAGGGAGUUUUUGAGAAUACUUGUCACAGGAGUUUGUUGUCCUGUAAGGGGGAGGUUAAGCACUCAUUUGACAAUGUACUUUGUAUUUUUGAUUGUUGAUAAUACAAAGAGAGGUUAUAUAGCAUUGUUGUUGAGUUCUUUGGAUUCGUUAGUGUGAGUUUCUAUAGGUAUCUUGAAUAGGAACCUAUCAUUUUGGUCUGACCUACCAGAUCAAGAGGGACAUGUGACAGUGAUGGAGGGUAAUACGGAGGGAAGACUGGAGAAUCUGGAGAUCACGAUGGAGGGAAAAUAAAGGCAGAGACCGCUGAGAUGCGACGCAACGUGCAACAUAUGUUGAGGCUAAUGGGAGGAGGACUGAACAAUCACGAUGGAAAUUCUGAAAGGGGUAACAGUUUGGUGAAUGACAAUCACGAGAGACGUGAUAACGCAAGAAUACAGCAAAAUUGGUGGAAACGGGUGGAUCUACCAGCGUUUGAAGGAUUGGAGCCUCACAGUUGGAUUAACAUAGCGGAACACUUCUUCGACAUUCAGAAAGUGGCGGAGGAGGACAAAGUAGAGCUCGCCUACAUUAGUAUGGAAGGUAGUGCGAGUUAUUGGUUCAGGUUCUAGAAAGACAAAGCCAAUAAUCGUUCUUGGUAUGGCCUGAAAGCGGCGUUGAUUAAUCGAUUCAGAGGGGGAUUUCGAGGAACUGUGUUUGAGUAGUUGGCGACGCUGCAACAGGAUGGGAUGGUAGAGGAGUUCGUCAGAAGUUUUGAGAUAUUGCUGGGACAGACUGAUAAUGGUUCAAAAACCGUUAUUUUCAUACUUAAAUUUGACAUUAAAUACACCCUUUAUGACUUAGAAUUAGCUUGAAAUCAUGCAAUUUCCUUAAGUUAGAGAAUAAGAGAGUCAAAGUUGGUUUUCUUGGUUUUAUGCUUGGUUUCUUCAUGAUUUGACAGGAUUUAUCAGGAAUUGAAUGAAGGAAUUUGAAGAAGAUAAGAGUUGGACUUAAGAGAAGGAGGAAAAGUGAAGAAAAGAAGAGUUGCAGCCACUGCCGGGCGGUGAAACCACCCCUGAGCGGUGUACUUCCCAGAGAACUCUCUACCAGACGCUCAAGCGACACCGCUGACGGGUGAAUCCAAGUGUCGACCUCACCGCCGAGCGGUGGAACUUUCAGGGAAUUCUCUGCCAGAUGCUUAGGCGGCAGCGCUGAUGGGUGAUGCCAAGUGUCGAACAUACCGCCGGGCGGUGUACUAUUGGACCUGGGCCAGUUUCUGCUUCGUUUUAAUGAGUUAUAAAUAGAAUUGCACGACCCAGAAGGGGUAUCUUCUGGCAGAAAGGAUGCAAAAACACUCUCUUCACUCCUUGAAGGCGGAUUUUGGAUGCGGAAGCUCCAAUUUAUCAAUUCUAGGGUUAUCUUUUCAUACUCUUCAUUCUUUUCAUCUAGUUUCACCAUGAUUAUGGUGAACUAAACCCCUUGGUUGUUGGGGGAAACGAUGUAAUCCUAUUUGAAACUCUCAUAUAUUGAAAUUCUUACUUUAAUUCAUACGCUUUCGUUUAUCAAUUAUUAGAGUUUUUCCUCUAUUAUAUUUGCAUGCUUUGUUUAAGAAAUUACUCAAUAGCAUAAUUUUUUAUUCUAUCUAUAUGGACACUUAUAGUUAGGUCUAGACAUGAGGGAAUUCUCUUGGUAGCAAUAUUACCUAGACAUAGGGAUAGGAGGACCAAUUACCUUAAGCUUCUGUGCGAAUUAUGUAAUGCAUUAUUAAUUGCUAGGGAGACUAGACAUAGUAAACUAGUAAUUAGGAGUAGACUAUAUUCACCAAGAUAUUGGAAUUAGGGGAAUUUAGAAAGUGGCUCUAACAUUGAUAAAGAAGUAGAAUUAAGUGGAAUUAGUAAGUAUAUGAGAGUGGAUUAGGAUGAAAUCAUAGACCCCCAACAACAUCAUUCAUUCAUAUAGUUCUACUGUCAAUUGAUCAAUCUCUGCAUGCAUGCUUAUUUUCUAUCUUGCAUUCAAAACCCUAAUUUACGUUCCAUCAAGUCUGAAGAAAUCAAGAAUUAACACGAACGUUUAGGCCUAAGAAAUCAAGAAUUACCAUUUAUUAUUACUUGAUACAAUUCUUUACACUUGUCGAAGUGUUAACACAGACCCAGGGCUUAUCGGAGGAACUGGUGCUGAGAUUUUUUCUUGCCGAACUACGAGAAGACAUUAAGGGGAAAGUCCGCAUCCAAGAUCCUCAAGAAUUGAUGGCUGCAAUGAGGAUCCCGCGGGAUGUGGAAGACAUGAUGUCCAAAGCUUGGGGAGGGGGUUGGAACGACUUUAAGGUGAACCAAGUGGGUACGCGAGCCACGACGAUAGUCAUUCGAGGAGAGGUCGAUCGUCAGUCAACGAAUUAGUCAGGAGGAAUGGAGGGGAGUGGGUCGGUCAGAAGAGAAGGACCGAUGACAGCCAAUAGCAUAAGAGGUAGUACAACCGGAGGUGGCGACAAUUGAGGGAGAAUGGUACGAAACAUACCUUACCCUGAAUUUCUUAAAAGACGGAAAGAAGGACGAUGCUUUCAGUGCGGGGGUUCGUUUGCGCCUGGCCAUCCGUGUUUGGAGAAGAGCUUACGAGUGUUAAUCUUAGUGGAGGAUGAGGAGGAUGAAGUAACAGAAGGCAUGGACCAGGAUGCGAAGCCCAUGGAAUUAUUGGCUUGCUCAACAAAGGGGUUGACUCCACCCAAAACCAUGAAAUUGACAGGGCGAAUUAGAGAAAGAAGAGUGGUGGUUCUCAUAGAUAGUGGGCUAGCCACAAUUUCAUCAGUCGGAGGGUGGCGGAGGAAUUUGAGUUAACUAUAAUAGACACACCCCCAUAUGCAGUGAGUCUCGGGGAUGGACACCAGAGAACAUCUAGAGGAUGUCGUGAGAAGAUUCGAAUAAACUUGGGAGAAGCCACGAUGGAGGAGGAAUUAUAUGUGUUCGAGUUUGGGGGAGUGGAUGUCAUCCUGGGGAUUGCAUGGCUAGCAAAGUUGGGGGAAGUAAUAAUAAAUUCAGAGAGAUGUCCAUGGUAUAUGUGCUAGAGGGUAAGAAGGUUAUGGUGAAGGGUGAUCCAACGCUUUCCAAACAACUGGUGGAACCCAAGGCGUUGCUGAAAUUGGCGGAUGCUAAGUCAUGGGUACUAGUUUGGGUAUUGGGCCAAGUGGAGCAGGAGGGGAACGGUGAGUGGACUAAUGAGUUGACAGGGGAGUAGAAAGUUGAACUACGGACAGUGCUGCAGGUGCACUACCGUGUGUUUCAAGAGAGAGAAAGCCUACUCCCACCUUGUGAUAUGGAGCUGGUGUUGCAGUUGUUGGAGUAGUAGUGUUGGAUGGCCAACCAGAGCAAGUGCAAAUUUGGGAAGCAGUAGAUCCAAUAUCUAGGCCACUUGAUCUUAGAAAAAGGCGUUGAAAUGGACAAAGAGAAGAUCAAAGUUGUUUUGGAGUGGGAUGAACCAAAAAACUUGAAGGCCUUGAGAGGUUUUUUAGGCUUAACAGGAUACUACCGGCGAUUUGUGCAGGGAUACGGGAAACUAGCCAAACCCUUAACAAAAUUGUUAAAAAAGGGGAAGUUUGUAUGGUCGGAACAAGCGAGAACGGCUAUGGCAACUCUCAAGACAACCAUCACCUCUGCAUCGAUCUUGGCUCUACCCGAUCUUAAUCAGGAAUUGCACGUGGAGUGUGACGCUUCAAGGGGAGGUGUGGGGGUUGUGCUGAUGCAGAACAAGAAGACUAUUGCAUUCUACAGCAAGGCUCUGUCGAAGGGUUCACUAAGUAAGUAUAUCUAUGAAAGGGAGCUGAUGGCUUUGGUGAUGGCCAUCCAACACUGGAGGCCAUAUUUGUUUGGGCAAAGGUUUGUUGUGUACAUGGAUCAUCGCAGCUUGAAGUACCAGCUAGAACAGAGGAUCACGACUCACAGUCUGCAAAACUGAAUGGCUAAGCUCAUGGGCUACGAUUUUGAUAUUGUAUACAAGACAAGAAGAUCUAAUAAGGUUGCUGACGCCCUGUUUAGAAAAGGAGAAGGAGGUAUGGAGGAAGUAGAAUUACAGGCUAUUUUCAGGCCCUACUAGCAUGAUUUCCAAGAAGUGUUGAAGGAAGUGGAAGAGGAUGAAUCAUUGAAAAAAAUAAUUGACGAUAUCAAGAGAGAUCCAAAUUGCCAUGCAACGUAUACUUUGGAGAACAACAAGCUCCACUACAAGGGGAGGUUGGUGCUCUCGGUCAAAUCAAUAUGGAUUCCCAAAUUAUUAGCUGAAUUUCAUGUGACCAGCAUAGGGGGUCAUUUAGGGGUGUUCCACACUUACCGAAGGAUAGCUCAAUCCUUAUACUAGAUGGGCAUGAAGAAAACAGUCACGGAGUUUGUAGUCGUGUGUGUGAUAUGUCAACAACAUAAAUACAUGGCUGCAUCUCCCCAAGGUUUACUACAGCCUUAGCCUAUUCCCCAGGCUGUAUGGGAAGAGGCGAGUCUGGAUUUCAUUGUGAAAUUGCCCAAGUCCCAGGGCUAUGAUGCGAUUUUGGUGGUGGUGGAUAGGCUUAACAAAUACACCCAUUUCAUAUCGCUAAAGCAUCCCUACUUAGCUAAAACCAUGUCAAAAGUUUUCACCAGGGAAAUAGUCAGGUUGCACGAAAUUCUUAUGUCAAUUGUUAGUGAUAGGGAUCCUCUAUUUCUAAGCGUGUUUUGGAAAGAACUUUUUAAGAUGCAAGGAACACAGUUCAAAAUGUGCACGACUUACCAUCCUAAGACAGAUGAUCAAACAGAGGUCUUGAACCGAAAUGUGGAAGGGUAUUUGAGAUGCUUAUGCUCAGAGUAACCCAAAAGUUGGAAGAUGAUGCUACCUUGGGUUGAAUACUGGUACAAUACCAGUUAUCAGGGAGCGACAAGGUGUUCCCCUUUUGAAAUUGUGUAUGGCCGAGCUCCACCAUCCUUGAGUAGAUUUGUUCCAGGGGAAACACCGGUGGAACCAGUGGCUCAGGACUUGAUAACGAGAGAUGAGGCACUUAAGUAAUUAAAAUUCCAUUUAAAUCAUGCACAAGAUUUAAUGAUUAACCAGGCGAAUAAAAGAAGGAAAGAAGUGGAUAUUAAGGUGGGAGAUUGAGUCUACUUGAAUAUUAGACCCCAUAGACAAUCUUCGAUGCUAGUGCCAUUGCAUCCCAAACUCUCAGCUCGUUAUUUUGGGUCAUUCCAGGUGGUAUAACAAGUGGGGAAAGUUGCAUAUCAACUACAAUUGCCAAAAGCAACCAGGACACAUUCGAUUUUUCAUGUAUCCCAACUUAAGAAAGCGGUGGGGAGAAGAGAAUAAAGAAGGAUCUGCCAGCUGAGUUGCAAGCAGAGGGGCCCACAUAUUGGCCGGUGAGAAUUCUGGAGAGGAGGCAAAGGUAGGAGGGGGAAGAGAUAGUGUCGCAGGUCCUAGUAGAGUGGCAAGAAGGUGGCAGAGAGGGUGCAACUUGGGAAGACGUGCUAUUCAGGAUCAAUAUCAUGAGUUCAACCUUGGGGACAAGGUUGUUGAAGUAGAGGAGGGUAAUGAUAUGUGUUACCACCCUGGCAAGUGUACCAGAUCGUAUCAAGUAAUAAUAGAACAGUUAGUCCAAAUAUCGUUUUCCAAUGGAUUCUUAGGCCUUAUCGUUCAUGUGAAUUAAUAUUGCAUAUGACUUAAAAGAAGAAUAAUUUGAAGUUGUGAUGUAAAAACGUAAUUAAACAUGCAAAUGCAAAGCUUGAUCAAUUGGCAAGUAAAGAUAUGAAUGAAUGGAAUUGUUGGGGUUUACGGUUUCAUCCUUAUCCACCCUCCUAUAUCUACUAUUCUUAUUAAAUUCAACUUUAUUAUCAAUGUUCAUGCAACUAUCUAAUUUACUCUAAACCCGACCCCUUGGCGAAAAGAGCCUAUUACCAUAAUUACUAGUUUACUAUAUCUAGUCUCCCUAGUAAUUACUAAUGCAUUAAUAAUAGAAGCUUAAAGCAAUUGACCGUCCUAUUCCUAUCUCUAGGCAAUAUUUCAUAAUCAAGAGAAUUCUUCUCAGUUCUAGAUUUCCCCGUACGUCCCUAUAUCGACAAAAUCAAAGAUCAUGACAUUGAAUAAGUUAAACAAUGCAAGCUUUCAAUUCAGAGAAAAAAACCCAAACUAUUGAUAAUACAAGUAUAUGAAUAAAAUAAGAUUUUCGAUAUAAGAGAGUUUCAAAAGGAUUACAUCGUUCCCCAAAAAUCAAAGGGUUUAGUUCACCAUUGACAUGGUGAAACUAUAUGAAAGAAUGGAAAGAAAAACCCUAGAAUUGGUAAAUUGGAGCUCCCGCAUCCAAAAGCCGCCUCCAAGGACAAUAGGAAGUGUUUUGACGUCUCUUUCUGCCAAAAGAUACCUCUUUGGUGCGUUUUGGGUCUAUUUAUAAUAUAGAAAAAUAACAGAAUUUUGGCCCAAGCCCAUAAGUACACCGCUCAACGAUGGAUUCACCACUCAACGGUGGAUUCACCGCUCAGCGGUAGCUGCGGCACUCCACUCGAUCGCUUAGCGUUAACGGCCAGGCGCCCUGCCAUAUUGAAUUGAUGUUCUCACUGAUCAACAGUGGCUUGUGGCGCUCAGCGGUAGACACGGUUCUUCAUUCACCCCUCAGCGCUGGCACUUAAGCGUCUGGCCGUAUUGAAUUCCAUAAGGCUGGCGCUCAGCGCUGGAAUUGGCGUUCAGUGGUAGCUGCGAUUCUUCCUUUGCACCUUUUUUCAUCUCUUCUUGAGUCCAACUCCUUCCUACUUCACUUUCCAUCCCUUCUUGAGUCCAACUACUUCCUACUUCACUUUCCAUCCUUCAAUUUUCAUUAAAUCCUGUCAAAACAAUGUAAAAUCAAGCAUAAUAUCUCUAAAACCACCUUUGACUUUCUUGUAACCUAACUUACGUGUUUUGCAUGAUUUUAAGCUCAUUCUAAUCUCUAAAGGGUGUGUUUUGAUAUCAAUUUCAAGUAUAAAAAUAAUGGUUCUUAGACCAUUAUCAAUAGGAGGUUACUUGUAUACGAAAGAAGGAAGAGACAUUAGUUAGCCUAACUGCCAAGGCAGUUAGGAAAUGUGGGUAGGGACUUGUAUAAAUAGGUUUGGGUUUAAUUGUAGAGGGAGUUUUUGCGAAUACUUGUCUGACAAGAGUUUAUUGUCCUGUAAGGGGGGAGGUUAAGCUCUCAUUUGCCGUUAUACUUUGUAUUCUUGAUUGUUGAUAAUACAAAGAGAGGUUAUACAACAUUGUUGUUGAGUUCUUUGGGUUCGUUAGUGUGAGUUUCUCUAGGUUUCUUGAAUAGGAACCUAUCACAACCACUACCAAAAUAUUGGAAUAUCAAUGAGACAGAAAAACAUCAAUGAUAAAAUCUAGAGCUAUAUCAUCCCAAACUUAUUGAGGAAUUGAAGAUUGAAGUAAAUCACUUGGUAGUAUCUAAGCAACCUUAGCUUGUGGACAAAUUGAACAUUGCCUCACAAAAUUACGCAUAUCCUCCUACAUAUGAACUAGAAAAAUUGUUGAGCAAUUUUGGCCAAAGUCUUUUUAACUCCUAUGUGACUCCACAUCUUGCUGAUACGAAAUUUAAAGCAAAUUGUUUUUAAUGUAAUCAACAAAUGGAAUCAUCCGUCUACCUUUCCAAAAUAUUAGUCCAUUUUUAAUUUGAUAACUACAAUCAUUCAAAACUUUUAGUGUAACACAUAAACUAGGAUCAUACUAAAACUUAUAUCACUUGAUGCUUAUAUUGAAAGCAUAAUCUUAUAAUUCUGAUACCAUUGUUUAAACGUAAAAAAAAAAAUGAAUUUAUUUAUCAGGUACUUAGAGAAAUACAGGUAUAAUGGUUAAAAAAAUAUAAAAUUGUCAUCUUAAUGAAAUGUUUAAAAAUGAAAAUAACUGCUUUUUCUGAAAAUACUAAAACAAAUUAGGAAAACUGUUUUUCUAAAAACUUUCCACAUAACACUCCUGCCUAUUGUAUAUCUUUCUAAACACAUCUACUAUUAUAUCUUCUUGUGAUAAAUCAUGAUCAUUGUAGUCAAACAUAACCAUAAAAUAAUAGAAGGUAACCUAACAUAAAAUACAUAACCUAAAAUUUAAAACCAAACAUACGCUUUAUUAUCACAAUUUGUCCACAUAAUUACUCAUUUUCCAACACCUAUAGUAACACAUACAUUAUCAAACAUUUUCUCAGCACAAGGUCUCAAACUCAUAAAGUCACAAGUUCACACAAAACCACUACAAGCUCGCAUAGAGCUACCAAUUGUUACACUUACACAAUGUUUCCAACCUUUCACUCACAGAGAGUCUAUCCACUAUCUUACAUAGAGCUUCCAAACAACCAUUCUCAUAAAGCUUAAGAGAUAUCUUAACCCAUAUUGGGUUACUAGUUGUAUCAUUCACACAAAGUUUACCAGUCAUUCACUCACACAAAACUGAAAUUUAUGUUCACGUAUAGACUUACAAAGUUCAUUCAUGCUCACACAAAGACUUAUAGAGACAUAGGCAGGACUCGUCCCACAAAGUCUACCUUUUCCUAAGACACACAACACAUCAUUCAUAUAGUCAUAUCAAUCAUAAAAACUUCUCCUUUAUAACAUACCCUACUCUAUCAUGCAUUCAUCACACCAACAAUCUAACUUACCUUUGGUAUAGUAUGAUAUCUAGGCCGACCGGUUAGUACUCAACAGCGAUCGGUCUAUCCACUGUAGCAACGCUCGUCAACCAGGUCAAACCAGGUUCAAUGCUCAUCAAAGGUCAAACCACAUUUAGCACUCUUUGUCAGCACUCGUUAACCAAAUCAAACAGUUAAACGAUGUUGGGUCGUAAUUGGGUCAGCAUUUGAAUGAUUGGGCUAAUAGUCCAACAGAAAAUAAAAUAAUCAAAGACAUCUGAUUAAAGAUAUUGAUAAAGGUGUUUAUAAGCAACCAACCGGAUUUUAAGGUAAAUUGUUUAAGGUAAGUCUGUUUAUAUUUGUUUAAGGUAAGUCUGUUUAUAUUUUAUAUGAUAACCUAUAAAUAGAGGGCCAAGGCUAAAACCUUCACUCCUACUCAAAAGUACUCUAUAGUGAUAAUAAAGUCACUUUCUAAAAAGGCCAAAACUCUACAACCUACGCUUAAUUUGAGCGUCGGAGUGCCUUUUGCAGGUACAUCCCCCUCUGCUGGUGAAGGAGGACGAGCAGUACAAACUGAAGGAGCGCGAGCGACUUCCAGAAGGGUGAGCAAACGACAUUAAUUAAGGAGAAGCAAGCGUCCCAGACAUUCAGAAGUAAUAAAAAUACAUUAGCGAGAUUAGUCUUUCGGUCCCACACAUCCAUACUGAAACACCUUUUAUAAUAAAUAAAAACCUUUCAUAUGACUGCAAAACUCAUAUAAUUAACACAUUUUAAAUACAAAAACUUGAAGUACAACACACAUUACACUAGAUGGUAUAACAUAAACUCAAAUCACACAUAACCAAUGACAAAGACUUAGUUUCCCUUACAUACAUAGAUUUUGCUCCAACAUUCAUACAUUUUAUAAUAAUAAUGCAACUAGAUCUAUGUUAAAACACAUUCACCACACACGCUUCGUAGGACAAAAUUAAAGUUAACUCUCUUUAUCUAGAUACUCAAUGUUUCAAUUAAACUUCUUUAAUCUUCACUCUCACAUUCGUCCUUGUUUAUCUUCAAAAAUCAGUUCUAAUUUGAAUGUCUCACCACUAUCUCAACACACCUAUUUAUAGGGAAACCUUCAAUCCAAAAUUCAGUUUUAUCUCUGACGAAAUUCAAGGAAAAAGACAAAGAAAAUAACUUGGAGAUAAAUUUAGUUUAUAUAUCCCUUAUGACUACUAUAUCCCUUGGGGAAUAUGUUUAACAUCUUCUUAAUUAAAUAAUUAUUAGCAAAAUCUUAUCUCAGAAAAUAUUUUUAAAUAAAAUAAAUAAUUAAUAAAUCAAUAUAUCUUUUAGAGAAUAUUUUACUUGAAAUAAAUAUUUUUAAAUUGAAUAAUUAAUAAACAAGUUUAUCAAUUGAAUCUCUUAAAUGAAAUAAAUUUUUCAAAUUAUUGUUUUUAAUUUUUCAUGUUCUUAAACUUAACACAUUUGAAAUUGAGCUUAAAUAGGUGAUCACCAUUUGCCAUUAAUUCUGCUACCUGUUUUAACCAUAACCCAAUUGGUGUAGACCAUGCCAUUAGAAACUUCAUGAUAAAGAAUCAGCUGGAAUGUGGUGAUAGCUCUAUCUCAAAUCCAACUUGAAAAAAUAUUUUGCUCUAAACAAUUCAUUUAUCAAUUCAUCAAUUGUAGAAAUACGAAAAAUAUCCUUAAUUGUGAUAGCAUUAAGUGCUUUAUAAUCUGUACAAACUCUCCACGAUUCAUUCUUCUUUUUAACAAGGACAAUGAGAAUGAAAAAAGAGUUCUACAAAUAUGAUGCAGAUGAGCCGGGGUUGGUAUGUGAUCCAAUUGACCUUGUAAAACCAUAAAUUUUUCAUUGUACAAGAACUUAAGAUGAUGUUCUCCAUAAUCAACAAUAUGUGUACCAAUAGCUUUCAACCAAGAAGCACCCAAAAUGAAAGAAAUUGCCUAAAUGAACCUAAAGUCUAUAUGACAACCUAAAUCUAGAAUGAAAAUCUAGAAUUUAUGUGAUGCUACUAUGUUCAUGCCGAAAACACUAUCCAAAUUAAAAUGAUGUUAGGCUAUAAAAGAUAAGAGCUAAUCACGGAUAUAGGCACAUGUUCAUGAAAUGAACUAAAAUUAGCUAUGAAUGCAAUACCAUGACAACAUUAUUAGUCAAUAUGUGAAACUAGUUUUUGUGCAGAGUUAUAUGAAUGCAUGUAAACUAUGUUCAGCAAAAUUUAGAAUGAAACUCUAGAAUUUAUAUGAUGCUGCGUUAUAAAAGAUGAGAGUUAAUCACGGAUGAUAUGCACAGGCCCAUGGAAUGAACUAAAAUUAGCUAUGAAUGCAAUACCGUGACAGCAUUAUGAGUCAAUAUGAAAGCAUGUAAACCAAGUUCAGCAAAAUAUAGAAUGAGGUAAAAUGCAAACCUAUGUAGACUAUGUAUAGGGUCAAAAGAAUCAAAUUUAAAUCUGACCACAACUACAGUAACAUGACAACAACAGGACCUUACUAUGUGAAGUCAAAUUUUAUGCAAUUAAAUGACCUAACCAAUCUAUGAAUGAUACAAAGAUUGUUUAGACAAUAUGAAUGCAGAUUUUUACGCAUGGGAAUGAAUUAACUAUCAUGCUAGAGAUGCCAACAUGUUGGAAUGUACUUGAGGUAAACCUAAUCAAAUCUGGUUUAUGCUAAGAAUGAAAUGAGAAUAUAACUAUGGAAUNGAGAAUGAAAGCUACAUCAUGCAUCAUAAGUUGACCUAAGAGACACUUACCGAUUUCAGAAAAUACAUGGGAUCUAAUAUCUACAGUUUGGGUAUCAAGACAUACACAAAACUAGAAAUUAAAAUGAAUGCAAACAGACCUAAUAUCAAUACUAUCGAGGUUAACCCUACUACACAAUUUAAACCACAAAAACAAGGCAUAGGAUUUUAAAACUGAAAAACCAAGAAUUAAAAAUACACUAAACAACAACAACGAAUUUGAUCCAGAGUUAAAACUUUCUGUUCUGAUUGGUAUGUCAAAUUGAAUCCUGACUCAAGAAGACCUCUUGAAAAAUAAGGCCCUCCUUAUGGUCUUCAAAUAAGAACCAAGAAUUCUGUAGUUUCCACUUAAUUUCCCAAACAAUUCAAGAACAUAAAUCUGAAUUAAGGUAAGCACAAAGAUGAUGAACAAAACCUAAAGAAUUACUACACAUGCUUCAGGAAUUCAAAAGAAAUGUAAAGCAUUACAAAAAAUUAAAAGAACUUACAAAUGUAAAACAAAAGAUUAAAAAUUGCAAGAAACAUAGAGAAUCAAAAUUGAGGGAAAAGACAUACAGGAAAAUUACGCAGGAAUAACGAGAGAAAGUAGAAAUUUAUUGAGAAGAAGAAAAUUACAUGAUUGGAGAAGAAGAAGUAUUGAAGAAAACAAAACAAAACGUAUUUUAAAACAGAAGAAGCCCCCCUUUUAAUGAUACAGAAAACCCGAAGAAGAAAAAAAAAAAAAAAAAAAAACUUGAACCUAAGCGUCUUCAGGUCCGAUGCAGCUCAGCGCCAGCCCCAUUUCGCAACCCAGCUCCAAUCCUUCAAGGCAGCUUUAGACAAAUGUGCCCCGGUUCAACCUUUGUGUCUUGCUGGUUUCGCAACUAUGCCAGCCCUCCGAAGAGGAAUCUCGAGUUAACUUGGUGAGAUCUGCCAGCAUCCCUUAAGCUACGUGUUUUGAUUAAAGGGUCUUUUAUGCAAAUAUCCAAAAUUGGAGGAAGGGUUAAAAUUCAGAAAUUGUAAAACAGUAAACCUAUCUAAGAAAUGUUGUGCUUUAUUCUUUUUUUAUUUUUUCUAAAAUAAACAAGAAUUAUUAUUUACCUCAAAACAGGCUAAAGAAAGCUUUUGAAAUGAAUUUUUCAGAAAACUAUUUUUUUUUUUUGCAAAAUCUAAAAUAUAUUCUAAUCUAAGAAAAAUGCAAACUAAUUAAAACUAAAAAAUAAUUUUAUAAAAGAAAAAGAGACAAAACUAGAAUGCUAACACAUUUUCAUAUAUCAUUUAUUCUUCAUCAAUUCAAAUCACAAAUCAAAGAUAACAAAUGACAAACUCGUUAAGUAAGUCUAGUUACUUAGUUGAGUUACUUUUAGAAAAGCAUUCGCUAUCAACUAAAUGAUUUGUACAGAUCGAGCGUUGUAACAAAAUGUAGAUAAAUGCGCCUAGUGAGAGGAUACUCACCCGACAACCCCUCCUUCCUUACUUAUGCCAAACUUGAGUUUAGUUUUUGUUUUGCUCGCCUAACAAGCACAUCUCUCCUAACUCUUUAUCUCUCUAAUAAACUCGAAUUUAACAUUCGUUUGUUCAAUGAGGAAUGAGCUUCCACAGUGAGUCUGCAUUAUACAGACUCACAAUUUUUCAUAUCAGAUAGUUCUUUUGGUUUUAGAAAGUCUUCUCAUUUUUUAUUCAAGUCAAAAAGUAGUGUCAAUUCCUUUAAAAAGAUUCAUUAUAAGCCAAAGAUGUCAUCGCAUAAAUUAUUAACCCCAAUUUCACAAUCAAGAGAUACAUUUAAACAUUCAAACUUGGAUUACUUAUCUAACUCAAAACACACAGCUAAAUCAUAAACAAUCACUACAAUUAUAAUAAUUCAUUGACUAAAUCAAAGGUUGUAAUUCAACCAUAGUUUACAUAUUUCUCAAAUCAAUAAUUCAAUCAUAGAUUAUCAAACAUUCAAUUCAGGCAAUAUAAAUUAGAUUGCAUAAAAAUAUUAUUAGCUUCUUUUAUCUUGAUUAAACAAACAUUUAACUCAUAAUGCUCGUUAGAGCUUUUUUUAUCAAAAGAUGCUACACAAACAUUAUAUCACAAGUCUAAACAUUUCAUUACAAUCACAACUAAAUAGAUAUUCACUUUGAAUUAUUUUGAGUUACAUACAUGAAUCUUAAAACCUGUGUAUUUCUUAAAAUGCUAAACUAACUCAAAAUUAAAUAAAAAAAGUGAACUUAUCCUAUUUGAAAUGGUGAUCGGUUAGAAGUGUAAACAUUUUCAUUAUGAAUCUACUGGUGAACUUUGAUUGUAAGAAAAAAUGAGAAACAAACUCAAAAGAUUAGAAAGAAGGCCAAGGAAAAUUUAGAUAAUCUUUCUAGAGAUAUGAUGAGUUUUAUAAAACGAAACUCGAUUAAUGUCAAAUCUAUUUAUAAUUAAACUUUUCAUGAUAAAAUAAUCGAAUAACAUUAUUAAAACCAUUAACACUUUUAAAUUAUUGUUCUGGAUCUUAAAAAUAUUAUAAUAGAGUAAUAAAUAUUAAUAACAAACUAAUUAAUAAUAAUUUUGGAUGUAUCAUGAUAAUUCACAUUGUUUCAAUUUGUUGUAUUUUUGUUGGUUAUAUGAAAAUAUUUUUUCUUAGAAUAUUUUUGAUGAUAUACAAUUAAAAGAAUAAGAGACAAUUUUAUAAUAUGAAGUAAAUAAUAAUUUUAAAUGACAUUAUUUCUUUUAUGGUACUUUAAAUGUGUUCUAUACGAUAUCAUUACUUUUUCCUUUUUUAACUAUUUAAUUAAAAUAUAAUUUAAAUGAUUGAAUAAAAAAUUAGUUAUAAAGAAAUGUACAUUUGAGCUUAUGUCUACUUAUCAGCCUCUUCCAUUAAAGGGUUAAAGGCUCACCCUAUUACAACUCAAUCAAGAAAUUCAACGUUAUUAGAUUCCAAGUUUUUAAAAGCUCCAAGGUAUUAACUGAAUUUUUGGUUCCUAAACGAGUUAUUUUAGACAAUAAUUGAAGUAAUAUAUUGUGUUAUUCAUUCUACAUCAAAAUAUCAAAUUAUAAAUUAUAAGCAGGAAGCGGACCUCAUUCUUCCAUGCUCAUACCUAUUGUCUAAACAGUCUCAUUGUAACAGAGGAUCGUAUUUUGUCUUAUCAACUAUUCAUGUCUUUAACCGUAUAAAAUACUUUUAGGACUUCUUUGCAAAAUGGAAAAAUUGGAAUCCAGUAACUUUAUGUCAAUCUAACGCGCUAGUGGGGAACAGAAAGAAAGAGUCUUUAGAAAAGCAUCCAAUGAAGAACCUUGUCUUUUAGAAAAGAUACAGUAUUCACCACUACUACGUUGAACUAAGAGUUAAACUGAAGAGUGUUGAAGCCUGCCAAAUCUCCUCGUAAAAGUCUACCUUAUCAAGAACCAACCCAACUUUUGCAUCUCGUUCAUUUCCUUUGCGUUUCUACUCUGAUCAUCAGUUGUUUGUUCCUGAGAUCAUGGAAUUAGCCGUGGUAGGUGGUGCUCUUCUCUCUGCUUUCCUUGACGUUCUUUUUGACAGGCUAGCUACCCCUGAGCUUGUCAGACUGAUCCGUGGAAAGAAGCCUGACAAGUUGCUUCGAAAGGUGGAGAACCAGCUGAUAGUCCUUAGAGUUGUUCUUGCUGAUGCUGAGAAUCGACAAAUCACAGACUCCAAUGUCAAAAAGUGGCUCGAUGCUCUCAGAGAUAUUGUCUAUGAGGUUGAUGACUUACUUGAUGAAGUUUCUACUAAAGCUGCUACCAGAAAGGAGGUAAGCAAUUCCUUUUCUCACAUUUUCAAUAGGAAAAGGAUCGUUAGUAUUAAUAAGUUGGAGGACAUAACUGAAAGAUUAGAUGACAUUUUAAAACAAAAGGAGAGUCUUAAUUUGAAGGAGAUUCCAGUGGAAAGCAACCAGCCAUGGAAAGAUCAGCCAACAUCUUUGGAAGAGUGAUAGGUAUGACAGUGAAAUCUGGUAUUCGAGGUACCAGGGCCUCGAGAAAGAACAACAGAAAUUUAGUAAAUACUGAUAUAUUCCUCUCUCUCCGUUUUCUUACAAUAUUUAUUCUCUGAAUCUAGGGGUAAAGCACUGUUUCGGUGCGGGCCGCGAGAGCGGUACCAAAUCGAGGCAAACUCUGAAUACUAGAUAUGANCUCAAAAUAACAAGGGUCAAGGUCGGCCAGUGAGACGAUGGGGGAUAAGCUUCAUCGUCGAGAGGGAAACAGCCCGGAUCACCAGCUAAGGCCCCUAAAUGACCGCUCAGUGAUAAAGGAGGUAGGGGUGCAGAGACAACCAGGAGGUUUGCCUAGAAGCAGCCACCCUUGAAAGAGUGCGUAAUAGCUNNNNNNNNNNNNNNNNNNNNNNNNNNNNNNNNNNNNNNNNNNNNNNNNNNNNNNNNNNNNNNNNNNNNNNNNNNNNNNNNNNNNNNNNNNNNNNNNNNNNNNNNNNNNNNNNNNNNNNNNNNNNNNNNNNNNNNNNNNNNNNNNNNNNNNNNNNNNNNNNNNNNNNNNNNNNNNNNNNNNNNNNNNNNNNNNNNNNNNNNNNNNNNNNNNNNNNNNNNNNNNNNNNNNNNNNNNNNNNNNNNNNNNNNNNNNNNNNNNNNNNNNNNNNNNNNNNNNNNNNNNNNNNNNNNNNNNNNNNNNNNNNNNNNNNNNNNNNNNNNNNNNNNNNNNNNNNNNNNNNNNNNNNNNNNNNNNNNNNNNNNNNNNNNNNNNNNNNNNNNNNNNNNNNNNNNNNNNNNNNNNNNNNNNNNNNNNNNNNNNNNNNNNNNNNNNNNNNNNNNNNNNNNNNNNNNNNNNNNNNNNNNNNNNNNNNNNNNNNNNNNNNNNNNNNNNNNNNNNNNNNNNNNNNNNNNNNNNNNNNNNNNNNNNNNNNNNNNNNNNNNNNNNNNNNNNNNNNNNNNNNNNNNNNNNNNNNNNNNNNNNNNNNNNNNNNNNNNNNNNNNNNNNNNNNNNNNNNNNNNNNNNNNNNNNNNNNNNNNNNNNNNNNNNNNNNNNNNNNNNNNNNNNNNNNNNNNNNNNNNNNNNNNNNNNNNNNNNNNNNNNNNNNNNNNNNNNNNNNNNNNNNNNNNNNNNNNNNNNNNNNNNNNNNNNNNNNNNNNNNNNNNNNNNNNNNNNNNNNNNNNNNNNNNNNNNNNNNNNNNNNNNNNNNNNNNNNNNNNNNNNNNNNNNNNNNNNNNNNNNNNNNNNNNNNNNNNNNNNNNNNNNNNNNNNNNNNNNNNNNNNNNNNNNNNNNNNNNNNNNNNNNNNNNNNNNNNNNNNNNNNNNNNNNNNNNNNNNNNNNNNNNNNNNNNNNNNNNNNNNNNNNNGAAUUUGUAGACUUAGGUUUUAUGAUUUUGGGCCAAUUUUUGGUAGUGUAGGCAAGGCCCAAGUUGUAAGUAAAACUUGACAUAGCUUUAGGGUUUGGGUGGACCCCACCCUAGUUUUUUGGACAGAGAAUUCUCGGAUCAUUUGGGGAAAGGCACUNCCGUCACCUUGCACAUUGGGUCUCUCUCGGCAAUUUCAGUUUUUUUUCCUUGCCUUAGCCGACAUGGUGUGUUGGGAUAUUCUUUUUGGCUUUUAAUGUUAUUCNAGGGAGANAAUGUUUUGGGUUCACGGUUUUUAAUGAAUUGAAAGAAGCACAUCUUCUUUUUNAUUUAAUUUUCAUUGUGUGCAUACACCGUUACUUUGUGGAGUCAAAUCUCGUUCUCGGUAUAUGAAAUGUUGAUUGUAGAAGGUGUCUUAUUUUACUCAUAUUUCCAAUGCUUAUCACAUGGUCACAAUGCUUGAAAUGGAUGAUUGGUAGAGGAGUCAGCUACUACUAUUCUUGGAAUUGCUUAAGGGAGUGAUGUGGCGGUGAAUGAUGAAGAAAGAAGAGAAGCACAUGGUGAAUUGUUGUGGGGUCCGGUGCUUUAAUAUCCUUGAGCCUUGUGAUUGAAACGUUAUUUUCAAUUGGAGAAAAGUGNUGCAGCUUACAUUGGGUCUCGGGAUUGUGCAAGAGGAAGAUUAUUUGAUUUUGCUGAAAAUUGAUGCAUAAGUGAAAGGGUAGUUCGCACAGCUGCAGCUCAUUACAACGUUUAUAAUUGGAAUUUUAAAUUGAAGAAUUGAAUUGGAGCAAAGAGGUGUGACGGUGAUGCAGUACAUUGCAACCAAUUCCCUGUUUUCUUGCAUUGCUUUAGUUUACGUGUGUCAUGUCAAGAUUGGUUGUUGAAGACCACACUUACUUUCUUAAAUGAUGAAGAGUUGAUUCUAGGAGAUUGGAUGCAGAGUUAUUUGAAAGGCUGGCACGUUGCAGCUGGAAGCAAAAAUUCAAUAAAUUCACGGCAAACAAGGUCACGACAAUGAGUGGUAUUUCAAGAGUAUUCCAAUUUCAAGUUUUCUUGAGUAAAUAUCAUUUGGUCACAUGAGUGAUAGGAAAAAUAAUGUUGUUAUUUCUUAGCUUUAAAUUAGUUUGNNNNNNNNNNNNNNNNNNNNNNNNNNNNNNNNNNNNNNNNNNNNNNNNNNNNNNNNNNNNNNNNNNNNNNNNNNNNNNNNNNNNNNNNNNNNNNNNNNNNNNNNNNNNNNNNNNNNNNNNNNNNNNNNNNNNNNNNNNNNNNNNNNNNNNNNNNNNNNNNNNNNNNNNNNNNNNNNNNNNNNNNNNNNNNNNNNNNNNNNNNNNNNNNNNNNNNNNNNNNNNNNNNNNNNNNNNNNNNNNNNNNNNNNNNNNNNNNNNNNNNNNNNNNNNNNNNNNNNNNNNNNNNNNNNNNNNNNNNNNNNNNNNNNNNNNNNNNNNNNNNNNNNNNNNNNNNNNNNNNNNNNNNNNNNNNNNNNNNNNNNNNNNNNNNNNNNNNNNNNNNNNNNNNNNNNNNNNNNNNNNNNNNNNNNNNNNNNNNNNNNNNNNNNNNNNNNNNNNNNNNNNNNNNNNNNNNNNNNNNNNNNNNNNNNNNNNNNNNNNNNNNNNNNNNNNNNNNNNNNNNNNNNNNNNNNNNNNNNNNNNNNNNNNNNNNNNNNNNNNNNNNNNNNNNNNNNNNNNNNNNNNNNNNNNNNNNNNNNNNNNNNNNNNNNNNNNNNNNNNNNNNNNNNNNNNNNNNNNNNNNNNNNNNNNNNNNNNNNNNNNNNNNNNNNNNNNNNNNNNNNNNNNNNNNNNNNNNNNNNNNNNNNNNNNNNNNNNNNNNNNNNNNNNNNNNNNNNNNNNNNNNNNNNNNUGGAUUUUUGAAGUCUCAGGAAGAGCCAAACGAUAAGCCACCGGGCCAAUCCGACUAAGGAUUUGAAAUGGUCCAAAAUAACGUUUUGCCAAUUUCUGUGGAGUCUUUCCGGCAAGUGACGUUUGACGAUAUGGUCUGAGUUUGACAUAAACCCACACUCCCACCUCAUACUCAACAUCACGGCGACGAGCAUCAGCCAUUGCUUUCAUUCGAUCCUGAGCCUUUUGUAAAUUUUGACGUAAAGUGGAUAAAAUGUUAUCCCGUGAACUAAGUAAAUGAUCAACAGCCUCCACUUGUGACUGACCUAAUAUAUAACCUGGCAAAGAAGGAGGAGAUCGCCCAUAGACAAUUUCGAAUGGGGUGUAUCCAGUUGCUGAGUGAAUGGUAGUGUUAUAACACCAUUCUGCCCAGGGAAUGAAGUGACUCCAUUUGACAGGUUGUGCAUUACAAAAAGCACGCAGAUAUUGCUCAAGGGUUCGAUUUAGAACCUCAGAUUGUCCAUCACUCUCUGGGUGAUAAGCAGAAGACAUCCUCAAUUGAGUCCCACUUGCUUUGAAUAAUUCUUGCCAAAACUUACUUAGGAAUAAAGGGUCACGAUCAGAAACAAUACUCUUUGGCAUGCCAUGUAGUUUGCCCACAACCUCAAAGAAAAUUGUGGCCACUUGAUAAGCUGAAAAUUGUGGAGGAAGAGUAGCGAAAUGGGCUGCUUUGGAAAAACGAUCAACAACCACCAAAAUAGAAGUGUGCCCAUGUGAAGAUGGAAGGCCAGUAAUAAAAUCCAUGGCCAAGUCUUCCCAAACACGAUGUGGCAAAGGAAGAGGUUGAAGCAACCCUGCUGGUUUUUGAGGUAAAUAUUUAAUUUGUUGGCACACCACACAGUUGCGAAUGAAAGUCUUCACAUCCUUAGUCAUCGAGGGCCAAAAGAAAUUCUCUUGCAAACGAUGAAGGGUCUUAACAAGACCCACGUGCCCACCUAAAGGGGUGGCAUGAAAUUCUCUCAUAAGGGUCUCACGAAAGGGACAUGUAGCAGGUAGCCAGAUUAUAUUUUUAUAAAAAAUCAACCCAUCUUUCAAUUUAUAAUCAGAAAAUGCAGCAGGGUCUUGAUUUAUAUCAUGUAAAAGUUGAGCAAAAUGAUCAUCACCCUUUAAAUUAUCCCGUAAUUCUUCCAAAAAUUGAAAGUGAGGGAUAGUGAUCACAUACGAUUGUCCCGGAUUCUCUUCGGUAGUGAUUCGAGAAAGAGCAUCGGCCGCCACAUUGGAACUUCCCGCACGAUAUUGAAUCGUAUAAUUAUAUCCAAUAAGUUUACUCACGUAGAAUUUUUGCUCUGGAGUUUGCACAGUUUGAGUCAAUAAAUCUUUGAGGGGUUUGUGAUCAGUUUGAAUGAUGAAAAAAUGCCCCAACAAAUAUUGUCGCCACUUCUUAAUGGCUGCAGUGAUGGCAUGCAGCUCCCGUAAAUAUGUAGAUGCCUGUAUCAUCCGAGAACAAAAUUUUUUACUAAAAAAGGCAAUUAGUCGUUGAUCUUGAGAGAGAACCGCGCCCAUAGCUAUACCAGAAGCAUCGGAUUGAAUAACAAAAGGCUUCGAGAAAUCUGGUAGAGCCAAAACUGGGGCUGUAGACAUCGCCUGCUUCAGCUUAUCGAAGGUAGUCUGAGCUUCGGGAGACUAAUGAAAAGCAUCCUUACGAAGUAAAUCUGUGAGAGGAGAGGCCAAAGCAGCAUAGCCUUUAAUAAAUUUGCAGUAAAACCCCGUUAGACCUAAGAAUCCUUUCAAUGCUUUCACAGAUGUCGGUGGGGGCCACUGCAACAUUGCCUCAAUUUUUGAAGAAUCUGGGCCUACCGAUCCAACACUAACCACAUGUCCCAAGUAUUCUACCUGUUGUAAAGCAAAGGAACAUUUGGAUUGUUUCAAGUAAAAAUGGUUAGCAUACAACAAUUCAAAAGUGAGUUGCAAGUGUAAUAAAUGAUCCUCCCAUGUAGUACUGUAGAUCAGUAUGUCAUAAAAAAAAAACGAUGAUAAAUUUGCGCAGAUGUGGUCGAAAUAGGNCGUUCAUGGNNGCCUGAAAAGUUGCAGGCGCAUUCGAAAGACCAAAUGGUAGAACCCGGAACUCAAAAUGCCCAUCGUGGGUACGAAAGGCGGUCUUAUGAAUGUCUUCUGGCUUCAUGCGAAUCUGGUGAUAGCCUUGUAGUAAAUCCAAUUUGGAAAACCAAAUGGCAGCCCCCAAUUCAUCCAACAGUUCGUCAAUGGUAGGGAUAGGAAAACUAUCCGGAACGGUGAUGGCAUUCAAAGCCCUGUAAUCAACACAAAAUCUCCAAGAAUUAUCUUUCUUUUUAACCAAGAGAACUGGAGAAGAAAAAGCACUGGUGCUAGGUCGAAUCUCCCCUGAAAGAAGCAUUCGGGCCACUUGAGCUUCAAUUUCUUAUUUUUGAGAAUAAGGAUAGCGAUAUGGGCGAACUUUAACAGGAGCAGAGUUGGGCAGUAAAGUAAUAGCAUGGUCAGUGGGCCGUUCAGGGGGUAAGGAAGAAGGCUCCUCAAAUAAAGAUUGGAAGCGAUUCAAUAGAAUGGACAGUUCUGGAUUAUCAAUGGGGACCACACCAAAAUAUGCAGCAGAGACUGACAUAGUCGAUAGUAUGGUAAGAUGAAAAUAUUCAGCAAUUUGGCCCCACUUGGACAAUUUACGCAAUUGAUGAACCGAAAUGGGCACAGAGUCAUUAUGAACGUCACCGAUCAAUUUGGCCAUCUGGCCUGACCAAGUAAAUUGCAUGGUAAGCUGUUCAUAGUCGGUUAAAACAGGGCCCAAACUCUGAAGCCAUUGCUCUCCCAACACGGCCUCAGGCCCGCAAAGAUCAAUUAAAUGAAAGUCCACCAAAAACGCUUGAUUCUGGAUUAAGAGAGGAACUUGAGUGCAAAUCUGAGAGCAAGUCAAGGCGUGGCCAUUGCCAACCAUCACCGAUAGUGGUUUCGUAGAUUGAAAAGGUAGACCCAAUUCAUGGGCUCGCUUAGAUUGAAGGAAAUUAUGAGAACUACCGCUAUCGAUGAGAAUGNGAACAGAAUGCUCCAAUAUAUGUCCAGUGACGCAAAACAUCUUCGAAUUAAAAUGCCCUGAUAACGCAUUUAAACUCAACUGAGCAGAGUCUGGUAUAGUGGAAUCAAUAGAGUCAUCGGGAGGAGGAUCGGAAGGUAUAGUUUCCUCAUCGUCAUGUACGAGGAGAAAGAAGCGAGACUUGCAAUGGUGUCCGGGGUUAUAUUUUUCAUCACAGUUGUAACAUAAUCCACGGUCACGACGAUUUUGUAUUUCCGAAGCUGACAAACGCUUAAAUGGAACAGUUGGAGUAGCUGGUGGAGGAAGGAGAGCUUGACGUUGUAUCGAUGGUGGAACACGGGAAACGGGUAUAGUGGAACUCCGUUGAUGCUGAUGCUGGACGCUCGAGUGAAAUUUAUCCUCUUGAAGUUUGGCCAACUCCGCCGUUUCCGAAAACGACACCGGCUGGAAGGCGAGCACCUCACGCUGAAUGUCAGGGCGAAGACCCGAAAUGAAGCACUCAAGCAAAAAAGAAGGAGGAACGUCGGUGACCCUGUUUGCAAGGCUUUCAAAGUCAUUAAGAUAUUGUAAAACAGACCCAGUCUGAUAAAGCUUACAGAGACGUCCCUUAACGUUCUGAAAAUGAGAUGGAGCAAAGCGGGUUUUCAAGGAGUGUAAGAAAUCCUUCCAAGAACGAAGAAAAUGGUUUCUCUCCAUCCACUGAAACCAACUCAGUGCGGGACCAUCCAUGUAGAAAGAAAUGAUCUGAAGACGAUCGGCUUCUGGGGUUUGGUGAUAGUCGAAAAAACGAGUAACAACAAAAAUCCAAUCUAACGCAUUGGACCUAUCAAAACGAGGAUAGUCCAACCGAAUCUUGGGAGCUUGUUUCGGAAACGAUGAUUGAAGCAAGGGUUUUUGCUGGAUGGAAGCAACCUCUGAAGAAAGCUCAUCAAUGCGAGUGGUGAGACGUGACACUUGCUCAAUGAGAAGAUCUAUGGCAGAAGGCUGAGAGGUUGUCAUUGAAAGCACCAAAUAAUAGGUAUGACAGUGAAAUCUGGUAUUCGAGGUACCAGGGCCUCCAGAAAGAACAACAGAAAUUUAGUAAAUACUGAUAUAUUCCUCUCUCUCCGUUUCCUUACAAUAUUUAUUCCCUGCAUAUACUAACAGUUUCCCGUAUAUCACGGUAAACACGUAAACAAAAUAAGAAAAGAUGCUAACAGAAAACAUUCUUGCAAAACAGAACAAUACUCUCUCUUAGUGCACAUAUUCAUCCCAAUUUGCGGGUCUCUUACUAUUUCUUUUGGGCUUAUCAUUAACACGUUCAGCUGACACAAUAUCCUCCUGAAUGUUUAUUGUAUCAAAGACAGAUAUGGUAUGUACGGUAGGGAUAAAGACAAGGAGACCAUAAUGAAGUUGGUAUCGGAGGAUAACACUGAUGGUCAAGAAGUGUCCGUGAUCCCCAUUAUAGGCAUGGGUGGGGUUGGAAAAACCACUUUGGCCCGAUCUGUCUACAACGAUGGAAAAUUGAAGCUGAUAUUUGAUCUAAUGACAUGGGUUUGUGUUUCUGAUAUAUUUGAUACUGUGAAGGUCACAAAAACUAUGAUAGAGGAAAUUACCAAGAUGCCUUGUAAUUUGAAUGAUUUAAAUUUACUUCAACUUGAAUUGAUGGACAAGCUGAAAGGUAAAGGUUCUUGAUUGUUUUGGAUGAUGUUUGGAUUGAGGACUGUGAUAGUUGGAAUAGUCUUACAAAACCAUUUCUAAGUGGGAUUAGGGGAAGUAAAGUUCUCGUGACCACCCGCAACGAAAGUGUAGCGGCUGUAAUCCCUUUUGAUAUUGUUAAAGUAUAUCAUCUAAACCAAUUGUCAAAUGAAGAUUAUUGGUUGGUGUUUGCAAAUCAUGCAUUUCCUCUUUCAGAAAAUAGUGAAAAUAGAGGAACUCUAGAAAAGAUUGGAAAGGAAAUUGUUAAAAAGUGUGAUGGGUUGCCUUUAGCUGCACAGUCACUUGGAGGAAUGUUAAGAAGAAAACAAGCUAUUAGGGAUUGGAAUAAUGUACUUGAAAGUGACAUUUGGGAACUGCCUCAAAGUCAGUGUAAAAUUAUUCCAGCACUCAGAAUAAGUUAUAAUCAUCUCCCUUCACAUCUAAAACGGUGUUUUGUAUAUUGCUCACUGUACCCCAAGGAUUACGAAUUUCGAAAGAAUGAAAUGAUCCUGCUGUGGAUGGCCGAAGAUCUUUUAAAAACACCAAGUAAAGAAAAAAGUUUAGAAGAAGUUGGUGAGGAGUGUUUUGAUGAUUUGGUUUCCAGAUCCUUUUUUUCAAUAUUCAACCAGUGGAACUUGGGGCAUUAAUUUUGUGAUGCAUGACCUGAUGCAUGAUCUAGCAACAUUCCUCGGUGGGGAAUUCUAUUUCAGAGUAGAUGAACUUGGAAAAGAAACCAAAAUUGAUAGAAAGACUCGUCAUUUGUCUUUUGCAAGAUUCAGUGAUCCAGUCUCAGAUAUUGAUGUUUUUGAGACAGCAAAAUUUCCAAGAACUUUCUUGCAGAACACUAAUAAAGAUUCUCCAUUCAACAACGAAAAGGCAUUACGUAUUACAGUGUUGAUGUUUAAGUACUUGAGAGUUUUAAAAUUUAGUGACUACCAAAGUGAGUUUGUUCUGCCUGAUUCAAUCGGUGAAUUGAUCCAUUUGCGUUACUUAAAUCUCAGUGGUACAUCUAUAGCAAUACUGCCAGAGUCAUUGUGUAAUCUGUACCAUCUACAAACUUUGAAAUUGGGUUUUUGCUUUAAUCUGACUAAGUUACCUAGAGACAUGCAAAAUCUUGUAAACUUGCGUCAUCUUGAAAUUUUGAUAAAAGAAAUGCCUAAAAGAAUGGGGAAACUAAAUCAAUUACGCAAGUUGAGUUAUUAUGUUGUGGGCAAGCAUAAAGAGAAUAGCAUCAAAGAACUGGGAGGACUUCCAAAUCUCCAUGGUUGGUUUUGUAUUGAGAAAUUAGAGAAUGUUACAAAAGGUGAAGAAGCACUAGAGGCCAGGAUAAUGGAUAAGAAGCACAUUGCCGAUUUAUUCUUGGAAUGGUCUUUACAUAACGAUGAUAUCAUCGACUUACAAAUUGAAUUAGAUGUACUCGACAAGUUACAACCUCAUCAAGACCUGAAAUCGCUGGAAAUAAGCGGUUAUAGAGGAACAAGAUUUCCAGAAUGGGUGGGAAAUUUUUCUUAUCAAAAUAUAACUAAUCUGCAUUUACAAAAUUGUAACAACUGUUGCAUGCUUCCUUCACUUGGGCAACUACCGUCUCUCAAUAACCUUAUUAUUUCAAAUAUGAAUUCGGUGAAAACUAUUGAUGCAGACUUUUAUAAGAAGGAUGAUUGUUCAUCUGUGACGCCCUUUCCAUCCCUUGAAUAUCUAAGCAUUCUUAAUAUGCCUUGUUGGGAGGUGUGGAAUGGUUUUGAUUCAGAAGCUUUUCCUGUGCUUAAGCAUCUGGGUAUAGAACAAUGCCCCAAACUAAUGGGAGAUCUGCCAAAUCACCUUCCCGCUCUGCAAAAACUCACGAUUAUAAAUUGCGAGCUUCUUGUUUCUUCUAUCCAUGGGCCUCCCACACUUCGAACAUUAGAGAUAGGUAACAGCAACAAAAUAGCGUUUCACGAGUUUCCUCUUUUGGUGGAAAGUAUAGAUGUAGAAGGAGGCCCAAUGGUGGAGUCCAUGAUGGAGUCUCUAAUAUUCAACCUACUUGCCUGCAAUCUUUGAGAUUACAAAACUGUUCGUCAGCUAUAUCUUUUAGAGGUGGUCGUCUUCCUCCGUCUUUGAAAACUCUUGAUAUCAGAGGUAUAAACAAACUGAAAUUCCCAUUGCAACACAAACACAAAUUACUGGAAUCACUUUCAAUAUAUAAUAGUUGUGAUUCGCUCACGUCUCUUCCAUUGGCUAUCUUUCCAAAUCUCACUUGGCUUUGUAUCACAAACUGUGAAAAUAUGGAAUCACUUUUGGUCUCAGGGUCAGAGUUGUUAAAGAGAAUGCACUCUUUUACUAUUGCCCACUGUCCCAACUUUGUAUCAUUCCCGGGAGAAGGAUUGUGUAUGCCCAAUUUGACUAGCUUCAGUGUUUAUAAUUGUGACAAGUUGAAGUCGUUGCCCGAUCAGAUGGAAACUCUUAUCCCAAAGAUGGAAUAUCUCUACAUAUCAAACUGUCAACAAAUUGAGUCAUUCCCUGGGGGAGGUAUGCCACCUAACUUGAGAGCAGUUGAGAUCAAAAAUUGUGAGAAACUAUUAAGGGGCCUAGGAUGGAAAUCGAUGGACAUGGUUACCUGUCUCAGUGUGUACGGUCCAUGUGAUGGCAUCAAAUCCUUCCCAAAGGAGAGUUUGCUGCCUCCCUCCCUUGUGUCUCUGGAACUAGGUGAUUUGUCUAGUCUGGAAACGUUGGAUUGCAAGGGCCUUCUCCAUCUCACAUCACUCCAACAAUUAUACAUUAAAAGGUGUGAAAAGCUGGAGAAUAUUGCAGGAGAAAAGCUGCCUCUCUCUCUAAUAAAAUUAACGAUAUAUGGGUGUCCUUUGCUGGAACAACGAUGCCACAAAAAGGACCGUCAAAUUUGGCCUAAAAUCUGCCAUGUCCCUGGGAUAAACAUUAACGAUAGAUGCAUUUAACGAGCAUGGAUGAUGAGAAAGUAAUUCUCCUUCUCUCACUUACUACAUCAACCUCCAAUCAUGAAAAACUAUUUCUUAUUCUUUGCAAUUUGUCUGUGGCCAGUGCUAAGAUUUGGCUUGGUAUUGUGCAGAACACUGAAAAUGUUGCAUACUCUUUAACUCUUAGACAUCUGAAGUGCUGUUUUUCUCAAUAAUUGUAGAUGAAGAAGGCAGAGUGGCUGAGAUAAGGGGAGAGGGGGCAAUGAAAAAUCGAAGAGAAUAGCACCUAUCAGUGACUGUCAGGAGUAUAGCACCGAAAAAACAUCAGCAUGCAGGAACUAUAAGUCAUGAGGGCUGGGAUAGGUAAUAACUAUGAAAGUCACAGAGAUCAUCCCGGUGUUACAGCUCCUAUUUUGCCUAUAGCAUUAUGUCAUGCUUCACACUAUUGCUCUGCUAUAUGUUAAUACAUAUUUGAAGUUUUACCUUUUUUUUAUGAAUAUUGUGUUCCAGAAAACUAUAUACUUCCCAUUCUGUGAUUAUCGUUUUGAAAAUGGAUUUAGAACUAACUCUAUUGUAAGAUUUAUAUUUAUGUAUAACCUGAGAUACCAUUUUGAAAAGUCUGAACUUUAUAUUCUCUCAACUCUGUAAGGUGAUAUUUCAACCAAUUUGUAUAUUAUAAAUAGUAAUGUAGAUCUCCAAUACUAUCUCUAAUGUGUAUAGAAAUCCAUUUUUGAAUGAAUCCUGUUGCCAGUGUUCAAAAGGAAAUUGAAGAAGAGGAACCACCAUUUUCACAAAGCUUUUGUGCUAUAUCAGGGUGGAGGUGGUAGUUUAAUCAGACUUUCAUCAAAUUCACUUAGAAACAAACAUCAAACUUACAGAAGAAACGGCAGUUUGCAAUUCAGGUUUAUUUGAAAAGAGUGAGUCAUUUUUUAUGAUUACAACAUUGUUGGAUCACGAUAGGAUGUAUGUUUGGUUUCCCGUUUGCAAGACACCAAACAAAAUUUCAUGCUUUUAGAAACUGAAAAUAGAGAAGUAAGUAUAUGUUGUUUGUGAAAAACUCCCAAAACACUCAAAGACUAUGACUUAAAAUUUGAAGAACUGAAACUCUAAAUUCUGGGAAACACGAAGCAUUUAAACUUGACAAUUUUUCAGUAACAACAAUUACUUGUCUUUCAUUGGCUUUGCUGGUACGUUACAGGAAAAGCAAAAAGCAUUCCUCCAGUCAUGUCAAAAGAAAGAGAUGAAUUUUUCAUGAUACCUCAAGGCAAAAUAUUUGAAAAACAAAAGAAGAAACUUAUUUGAAUGUAUACAAGUUAUAGCUAAAGAUGCAUCAAUAACAAAUAUUACAAUAUUGAAGAUUAAAUUAUCGAUUCUGGAUUUAACAUAAAAUCUGUAAGUUACUAACACAAUUAUUUAUGUAUGAAAAUGGCUUGCAUUGGUCCAAAUUGGAUUGUACUUCGGUUUCUUUAGUCUAUUAAUAUAAGGAUUUGAUACAGUUGUUUAGCUUUUAGAUUUAACCUUGUUUGUAUAAAAUCUUUUGAAAGACUUUAUAUUUUCUCUAUUGCAGUUGUAGUUUCUAAGUUAUAUAGAUCUUUUGUAUAUGUUUUUGUUGUUAUGAUUAUUCUCUAAUAAUUUUAAUAGCAUUUUCCUCCAAAUGAUGGAUGACCUGUUUUUUAUUAUUAAUCAUGUAAUGCUUAUUUCAGUGGAACUAAAAUGGAAUGUUACAUUAAUAUUUGAUAUUAAUUUUUAUUAGGUAAAUUAUUAAUCUAAGAUUAUAAUUUGAAAUAGAAAAGAUCAACCAUUAUUUUUUCAUUAGUUUAUCCAUUAACACUUUCAAGAAAAAAAAAAGUAUAUUUAUAAAAUAAUAUUAACUUAUAUAAUUUAUAACUUUGCCAUAUAAUUUUUGUAAAGAAAAAAACUAUAAAUAAAUUAACAUACGCAUGAAUUAAUUUUAACUCAUAAAAACUUAUUUUACCUUUUCUUCUUAUUUUUCUAUGUUAAAAAUAUUUUUUUUUAAAUAAGUUUGUCUACACAUGUUUUUAUAUUAUGUUCUUAUAUUGCACCUAAAUUUUGACUUAUAUCAUAAAAUAAAUUAAGAAGAAAACAUGUCACAAAUUAGGGGACCUUUAGUUUGGUUAAUUAUUAUAUUUUUUAAUGCAAUUUUAUUUACUAAAUAAAUUAAUUCAAGGUUUAAAUGAAAUAUCUAAAUUAAAAUAUUCCAAACUAGUUUUAUGUUUAUUGUGAUAUAUAGCGAAGGAACUUAAUAGUUAGAGUUUGAUGUAACUUUUGAACCAUAAAUAAAAUUAAAAUUAUUUCUAUUAUUAAUAUUAUUAUUAUUUUUUUAAGUGCUAUACAAACAAUUUUAAAUUCUUUAACCACGUUCUUUUUAAUGAAUUUCCUUAAAAAAUUGCCAAUUUUAACACUAUUAUACCUAUCUAAGAAGCUGGGAAACAAAAUUGUCUUACCUGUAACUAGAAUAUGUAAAAAUUCCUUCUUGUAAAUUUUUCCUAUAAAUUAUCAAAUUCAUGUACGAAUGAUAUUUUGUUCGUUUGUUUUUCCUGCAGAAAAAAGUCAUGUACGAUAAAUGCAAACAGCAUGUUAACCGAGAAACAAUUUGUGUUGAUUUCAACACAUACCAAAUCCAUUUUGCAAAGAAAUGCCAAAUCCAUCGGGCACGACAUGUAAUUUGUGUUCAAUUAUAUUAUCCUUCACAUGCUAAUAGUGUAGUUAAAGAGAUGCAGUGAUAAAAGUGAUGCGUUAUACCGUGCUUUUCUGAUAUUUCCAUCACAAGGCACAUAUUAUCUUACCAAAUUCAUCCACAUAGAGUGAUAUAUAUAACUGCUAAAGGAGGUACGUAUCCCCUAUAUUAGUAAAAAAUUAAGGUACUCCUAAUCCAUUGAUCCUAGAUUAAGAGCAUUUCCCACCUAAACUGGCCCAAUUACUUUUGCAUUACAAUAGUACUAUAAAACCAUUUCCACACAUUUGUUUUCUUGUAUUGGUUUUUCUGUGUGAGCCCUUCCGUGUUUCACACACUUUGUUCAAGUAUCACUCUUUCACUCAAUUCCUUGUGCUUUUUCAUUCUUGAUUUCGUAUCUGAUGGAGUAGUGAAUUGAAUAGUGUUGCAGGGUCUGAAUUGGUGCUUGAUAGUGCAUGUAAACGUUUCUCUGGUGUUUGCUGGCAUAAUGUUGGAUAGGAGAGUGAUUAGGAUAGGAUUAUGUUCAUUACAUUUGUAUUCAAGUUUCUAACAUGCUCCCUCAUAUUACUGCUAUGGUAAUCAUUAUGGACCAGUGUGGGAUGACACCAUUAAUUGAUUCUCAAUUAAACCUUUUAGUCCAUUGUUCAAAUCUUUGCCUAAUGACAAUGAAAGAAUUCUAUAUUCAUUUGAACUUUUAAUUGCUUGAAGCUUUGGUUCAUUUGAUAUUGCUAACAUAAUAAUUAUUUACAUUUCUUCAUCUGUAUUUUGACAUUGAUUGUCUUGUGCCAGGAUGAAUACAGGGAGAAGAACACAAACUUUUAGAAUCAGUGGGGCUGUGCCUUUUUAUCCAAAUUUUGUGGUCAGUUCUGUAGGUGGCAGAAAUUUGGAGAAGUAUCAGCUUGGUGGGGUUAUAUUUGGUUGUAAGAACAACACAAUGAAAGAAUGCCAAUCAAAACAACUCUUCGGUUAGUCUUUAACUCUUCUGCAUUUGAUUUCUUUUAUUGUAGCAUUUGUAAGAUUCUGAUGCCAUUAGUGUGAGUAUAAAGAUGAAUGAAUCAAUGAUAUCUUAUAUUCAAAAUAUGACUCUCUUAACAUAUAUACAACACUGAAGUAUUUUACUUGAACUAUAUUUUUCUAAAUUCUUGAAAUUAGCAUGAAGAAAAAUGUUAUAAUAAUACACUUUAUUAAUUCAUUAUCCUUUAUUGGUUGAAACUUCUUAGUAAUUACACAAAUUGUUACAGCUUCAACAAAAAUUUCAACUAACAUAGACUCACUAUCAGUUAGGAGUGUUUUAACAGUUGCUUGCACUCGUCUUAGGAUGAAAUCAUUUGCUUUAACAAUGUUGAAGGGGGGGUUAUGUGACCAUUAACUCAAUAUUAUGUAUUUGUUUUAACAGGUUUACCAGCAAACCACUUUUCCUAUGUGAAGAACAUUGAUCCUGGCCUCCCAAUUUUUCUGUUCAACUAUAGUGACAGGAAGCUCCAUGGAAUUUUUGAGGCAUCUAGCAAAGGGAAAAUGUACAUUGACCCUUACGCAUGGAUUGAUGAAAAUUCAGAAUUGGAUAGAACACAAUAUCCUGCACAGGUAUAUCACUUGCUACAUAUCUACCUGUCAAACUCUAACUCUCAUUGUUCAUGAUAAUACUGGUCUAGUAUUCAUGUCAUUGUUCACCCAAACCUGCUAUUAAUGAUUUAAGGUGAAAGUUCGCGUGCGUCUUCAGUGCCAGCCACUAUCUGAAGAUAUAUUUGCACCAGUAAUUGCAGGCAACUACUACACCAAUAACCAUUUCUGGUUUGAAUUAGACCAUAAACAAGCAAACAAACUUACCUCAUUGCUAGCUUCUUUAGCAUUUGCAUCUGGUUGUAAUUUGAAGUGGAAAACUGUGCCUCCAUCUCUUCCAUCAAAAGUAGGUGAAGCCUUUGAAAUAUCUGAGUCAGAGGCACAACAUUUUACAAGAUCAUGUAAGAGAACGUAUUCCACUGAAGUUACUCAUUCUUUAGAUGGAGACAUCAGAUCAUUGGAUACUCAAGCAGUAGUGGAGGAGGUGAAUGAGAAUGAGCUGAACCUUGUAUAUGAGAAGCUAAAGAAAAUUGCUCUUGGUCAUGAAAGUCAAGACCUCUCACUGUCAGACAAUGUGAAUGACACUCCUGAAGAGAAUGAUGCAUGCACAGUGGAAAAUGUUGAGAAUGAGAAUGAUGCAUGCCCAGUGGAAAAUGAUGAGAAUGAUGCAUGCACAGUGGAAAAUGAUCAGAAGGAGAAUGAUACUCUUGAUGAGAAUGAUGUGUACAUUGUGGAAAAGGAAUGUCAUGAGGUGCCAGAAUGUUUAGAGGAGGAAGAAAAUUCAAGUACUCCAAUUGAGCAUAAAUACUCCAUUGACAAGGUAUAUAAACAUGCCUUCAGUAUACAUUUACACUUUCUUAAAUGGUAUUUUUCUAAUCUUAGUUUGAGUUAAAUUUUACUACUUUAUAGUAAUUUUUCAAGGACUAAAGACACUUGAUUUUCUUAAUCAUAACAUGCAUAAGUCAGUGUUUAAUGCUAUAAGCUAUUAAACUAACCUUGCUGAAUUCGCAGUUGAUGCAAGAAGUUGAAGAACUCAUGACUUUCAAGCAAAUGCAAAUACAAAACAAUUGUCACCUUGAACAAAAGCUGGUACUUCUUUCUAUAUUAUGAUCAAUCUUUCAUAAUAUAUUGCUUGCAUGUAUAAAAAUUUAAAUGGUUACACAUGCGACAAACAUAUUGAACUUCUUAAUUUAUCAAAUUUAUGAAUUCAUUUUAAGUAAUUAUCACCUCAUAGAACUUAAAACUUUUUCCUUUGUCUGAAAUUCUAAAAUAUGCAGAACUGUGCUGGUUUGCUUUUAGUUCUUGUAAAUAAAAUUCACUCUGCUGAUUCUGAUCAUUCAUUUUCAUUCAGCCACACUUUUCAUUAAACUUUGGUUUCAUUUCUUAAAUGGGGCCCACUUUUUUGACCCCCAAUUCGUGCAGUGGAUACAGUAGAUCCAAACCCCACCAAAAUUUUACUCCUGUUAAUGUUUGAUCCGAUGAAGAAUCAAAACCAAGGACAUUAUAAAAUUGAAAUAUCUAGACUGCAAGUUAAAACUGUGAACAUAAUCAUCAUUUGGAUUAACAGUUGGUACCUUUAAUUUUACCAAAUUUUCUGAUCUUAAGUCUUUUAUGCUUAUUUUGUUUACAUUAUUCCAUACCAGAGGGAGGCAGAAUUCAAAAUUCAGCAUCUAAUGGGUCGUUAUAAAAUUUUAGAAUCAGCAACCAGUCUUAUUCAGACACAUGUUGAGAGGACAGUUAUUCAGUCACAUGAUGAGCAACAUGUAGACCCUGAAGAGACAUUAUUUAUAAAAAUGAUUUUUGAUGGAGAAUGGUGGUUAUCAACUAUUGAUUUAUAUUGGUCUUUCCAGUUUGUGAUCAAGUCUCUCUAUCUUAUGAAGUCAACCUCAAUAACACACCUAAACUGUGAGUUUCAUAGGUCUUUUUUUCCUUUGAUGAAAAUCAACAUGCUUCGUAUUGUUAUAUACUAUUGAGAUCUAUAUAUGUUUCUUCAUUUUAUGUUGUUUAUGACAUAGAAUUUUUGUUAACUUUUGUUGUCACAAAUAUGGAUAAUGACAACUUUUGUUGAUGAUGUUUAUGGCAUAUUGACAACUUUGUAGUUACUAAAGUGCUUGAUUUAGAUAUUGGGAAGUGGAUCUCUCCUGGUUCAACACUAGACAAGGUAUAUUUAUUUCAUAAGUAUUUUACAUGUUCUAUGUAUAAACAGUUAUUUUUUCAAUAUUUUUUUCUUUUAAAUUUAAUGCCUAAUAAAUUAAACAUUGCUACCAUCUACAUAUUUAUUAAGUUGUUCAAUACAUAAUUAAAACGAAGUCUCUUCAUACACCACCAUAAGAAAAACAUAUCAUUAUAUAUUAUGAUACAAAAUGUAAAAAUUAUAUUAAAAAAUAUUGAGAGAUAAACAAGAAACAUCAAAAAACAUUUCAGAAAUUUAAAUUAAAAUAAGUACAACUAAAAAAUUUAGUAACGUAUAUAAAAAUAUUUAAUUUAUUAGGUAUUCAAUUUAAAAAAAAAUAUCUAAAAUUUGAAUGUUAAUUAGGCUUAUUUGAUAUAACAAAAGCACUAGAUAAACAUAAGAAUUUUCACUUUUAUCAUUAUCAAGUAGUUAUAGGAAUAUUAAAAGUAUCGCUACCAUUCAUCACCACCAAUCCAAUACAAUCAAUCUUGAGUUAAAUAAAUUGAUUGUUUAGGACAAAGUAAACCGAACCAAUCAAAUUCAUUGUUUAUUGAAUUUGGUAUGGGAUUUAGGUGCUCACUCCCAUGAACACAAUUAUUAUAUAAUAUAUAUUUUUAUUUUAAUUCAUUAUUUAUAUAUGUUUCAUAAAAAGAUUGUAAAAUUAUAUAUAUUAAACAUUAUUUUAUUUAUUUAUUUCUUAUGGUACUCUUUUUGUCUAAAAUUCCUUAAGAGAAUCAUUAGGAAGAACUUGGAUUCUAAAACUAAUUAUUUGCAAAUAUCAUACUUCCAUAUCAUAUUUAAUAACUCUAUCUAACUUUUACUUAAAUUCUAAACUCAUUAUAAAGUCUUUAUAGUUCAAUAAUAGCUCUUUUUUCCAUACAAACAAUUUUUUUACAGUAUCACACUCUAACCACAGAUGUGAUUAGGAACUAUAUUUUGAAUGUGUAAAGAUUUUUUUAUUAUUUAGUUUUUACAAUUUAAGAUUUGAUUUUUAUUUUGUUCAUACGCAUUGUUUAAUCAAAAUACAAUAAAACAUAUUUAAAAUUUAUAUCAAAAUAAAGUAGUAAAAAGACUAUUUUUUUAAUUUUAAAAAAUUAUUUGCUAUCAAUAUACUAAAUCUAACUUAAUGAGAUUAUUUUACUUAAAAAAGUAACACAAGUCUAAUUCAAUCAAAACUAUCAACUAUUUUAAUAAGUUAAUUAAAGAAAGCAGCUGAAUUUCUUGUUAAUUGAACUUAUUUCUUGUUAGUCUAUGUAUUUGUCAUUUAAGAAGAUUUAGUCAUUUCUUUCACAAUUAUUUAUUAUAGAUAUUGUUUUUAAAGCAUAUGUUAAAUUAAGUUUUUGUUUUUAUAUUGUCAGGUAUCUGCAAUUGCUUUGGUUGGAAUCAACCGUCUAAUUCUUUUUAAUACUACCUUUCAAAAUGACUUAGAGUAUCUCAAGUAAGAUUUAAUCACCCAAAUUUUGCUUGUUUUAUUUUUUGUACUAUAUAUCAUUUCUGGAUUUAGAUAUAAAAAAAUGAAGUACUUUGAUAUUGAUUAGAAAUGUAUAUAAUUGUAUUUCAUGAUUUUGUUUUUAAACAAUAAAAAAUAAUGUUAAUAAUUGAAAAUAAUAUUUGAAUUUAAAUGUAAAAAUAUUUUUGAAAUAAUAACAUCAAAUAAAAUAAAAAUUUAAUUUUUUUUUGUAUAUGAGUAGAAAGUAAUAUAUUAGGGGACGUGUUAUAAUUAUUAAUGUUUUAUUUCUGUAAUCCAUUUUUCCCAUAUUUAUAAGUUAGGAAUAAAAUGCUUUCAUAAGUUAGAAACAUAUCAAAUAUUUUCCUUAUUAAAAACAGUCUAUUUUAUUUAUUUAAUGUCUUAUGAAAACAACAACUUUUUUUUUUUUGGAUUAGUAAGGCGUAUAAAUAGUUAAAAUAUACAAAAACAGGAAUUAAAAAAUUAUAUAAUUUAGCAAGAAUUUUCAACAAAUAUUUUGAAGCUGUAAAAGUUUAAGGAUGUCAUUCUUUCUAAAACAACAACUAAUUCUUUUGUAUUUUUUAUAUUUUAGUUAAAAAUUUGUUGGAUGUUUAAGUUGUAUUUAAGAAUUUUUUUUAGAGAAUUGUUUAUAGUAGAAGAAAUGCUACAAUCCAAUAACAUUUUUACUUAAACUUAACUUAAUAUAGCAUAAAACUAACUUGUAUAAUAUAUGCACUAGGUUUGAAUUUCAUCCUAUUAAUGACAGCAAAACAAAGAUGAUUUCAUGUAUUAGGGUCAUUCAUCCAUAGAAGAAGAUAAUAUAUCAAGAUAAUAUAUGGUGAGUAACUAAAAAAAUAAGAACAUCUAUUUUUAGUUUACCUAUAAUUACUCGUUUAACUCAUCUUUGUUAUUUUUUACAGCUAUCAACUUAAAUCAUUAUAAACUGAUAUUGAAGUAAGUGGUUGAUGUGGGGUUACAUGAAAUAAUUGAAAAAAAAAAACGCAAAUAUUACAAUACGGUUUUAAUAUUUUGAAUAAAUAUUAUCAAACUAAAAUUAGGUUUUACGUGGAACAAUUUCUUUUGAUUUAAAAUAGAUUUUUAUAAUUUCUUAAUAUUUUAAAUUUAAUUAUAUUUAUUUAUAGUUCUCAUUAUUAGUAUUUGUCUCUCAUUAUUAGUAUUAGUCGUUCAUUUAUAUUAUAUUAAGAAAAAAAUAAUAUAUAUAUAUAAUAUAAUAUAAUAUAAUAUAUAAUAUGUAGAUAAAUAUGGUUAUUGAAUUAGGGUGUCUAUAAAUAUUAUUUCUAAACCUAAUAUAAAAUAAAAUUGAGUAAUUUAAUAAGAACUAAAUAUAUUUUAAAAUCAAUUAUAAUUACUAUAAUAUUUAUAACUUAAAUAUAUUCCUUAAUAAAAUGAUGUAGCGAUUUUAGUCCGCAAAAUAUUUGAAUUAUAAAUACUUUUUUUUUUAAACUUUGAUAAUAAAACAAAAUUUUAAAUAAUUAUAACAAUUUAUUCCUUUUAACGUUAAAGUGUUGUGUUAUUGGGAUGUCGUAAUCAAAUGUUUACCAUUUCAAAACAUAAUAAAACAAUAUAUCACCAAAUUUUAUUUUCACAUUAAAAUAAGUUAAAUCUCUAUUAAAUUAAUUGUGUAAUGCUCGGUUUUUUUUAUAACACUAUCCUCUAAACAAAAACUAGUUCGCGCGCAAUACACGUUAUUAUUUUUUAAAAAUAAAAUAUAUUUAUUAUAUAAAGUUAAGUGCAUUAAAAAGUAUUACUUAUUUUUUAUUUUAUAAAAUUAAAUAAUAAUAUUUUAUUAUUUUUAAUAUAGGUAUGUAUUUAAACUAUUCAUCAUUAUAUCUUUUAAUAAAAUUUACUUUUUUCAUACAAUAAUAAAAUUAAUUCAAAUAAAAAAAAAUUGCGAAUAAAUAAAAAAUUUAAGAAUUAUUAAAAAAUUAUUUACGUUAUAUUUAGAAAUAAUAUUUUGUAAUUGAAAUUUUUCGUAAAUAUUUUAUUAUAAACUAUUUUUUAAAAUAUAUAAUUAAGAUUAUAAAUUUUUGAAUGAAAAUUUUUUUAUUUAAUAAUAAUUAUUAAAAUUUAGUUGUUCGGAACAUAUUAGUUGUUUGGAACAUAAAUUAGUUGAAUUAUCUUCCCAAAUAAUAAUUUGAUAUAAAGGAAAUUAUUAUUAAUAUCAAAAUAAGUUAUCAACUAAGUCAUUAAUAACAAAUAUUAGUUGAUAAUAUUAUUAAUGAAAUUAUUAUUUAACUAUUAUUAAUAUGAAAUUCGAUAACUUAUUGAUAACAUUUUUAAAUUAUUAUUGAUAAAAAACAACUCAGUUAUCAAAUUAUUGUAAAUAUCAAAUAAUAUAUAUAUCAAAUUUUUUUGGAACAUAAAUUAGUUAUUUUUAGUAUAUAAAACUUAUAAUUCCAUAUAUUAGUUGAUAUUUAUUUUGAAUUCCCUGUUUCCCCUAAGCUUCCUCUCAAGAAUUUCGUCCAUACAUUUCUUGUUUUCUUCAUCAUUUCUUUAUUCCGUAAAAAGCUCCCAAUUGUAAGAUUGGAAUAUCAUUAUGUUUUGGAAGCAAAUUAGUGGUAUAGUAAUUGUGUAAUUAAGUAAAAAAAAAGUCAAUAUAAAUUGUUAUAGACAUAUGCAUUUAUCGACUCGUAUAAAUUGUUUUAUUAUAAAUUAGAGGUUAAUAAUUCACUAUUUACUUUAUAUUGUAUCAACAUAACAUUUAAAUAUACUAUUUUUUAUAACAUUCUGAUUUUUGGAAGUAACGAGUUAUUAAAAAUCAAUAAAAUUUAAAAUUUAUCAUAACACAAAAACAUAUUGAAAGAAAAUUUUAUUCAAUUAUAUUAUUUUAAGUAAUAAAAUAAUAAAAGAAAUACUUUAAUUAUAUUGUCGUAACUUGUAAAAAAAAAAAAAAAAACUUUGAAUGAAUUCAAGGUUAUUCUUUGUUCUCUCUCAAGUUAAUCACAUCUCUGAAACAUCUAUAACAUUAUUUGCUUAUGUAUAACACAUUAUAUGAUUAUCGCCGAUAAUUUCAUUCACAAACACACAAACAAAAACAUGUAUGGGGUAAGCUACUGGUAAAACAAUCAUAACAACAAGAAACAUACAUACUACAGGAACUGUGGGAGUAAUCCCCAAAGCGAAGCAAUCAACUAUGAACGUUUGCAUGCAAGUCCAACCAUUCGAAUGAAGCUGAGUAGGGGAAACAUUAAGCUCGCAGAGGACGUCUGAUUGAAAGCUAGUAAAAUGUACCCGAAUGAACAUCUGGGAAAAAAGAUAUGAAUACACAAAGAAGAAAUCUUCUAUACUUAACUCUUUCCCAUGGUAAACUCAUUCAUUCUUUUUACUAACUACCAACCUUAUUAAGCGUGCAUCCUCUACGUCUCGAACAACGCAUGACUGGUCGACCCACCAUUUUGAUAACGGUAAUUCUUACCAUUAUGCUUAAUUCUCUCUUUAAUCUAACUUUGUGAAUAACUUCAGUAGGUUACACACAUCUAGUUUCAUCACUAAUUCCUCAAAUUUUGUAGGAACUUUGUGUGCUUUGGAAGGAAAUUCAAACUAUCAAGAGUGGGGAGCCAAGGAAGAGCUAAAAAAGGAAGUUUAGAAGACGUGUCUCUGCAAACAUGGCGCCUGGGCGCCCCCAGAAUGCGCUGGGCACCCUUCAACUCGCUGUUUCAGCCAAAUCUCCACGCCUAGGCGCCCUAAAAGGGCGUUGGGCGCCCUUCAGUUCAUUGUUUUUCCCAAAUUCUGGUGCCUGGGCGCCUCCAUAGGGCGCUGGACACCCUUUGAUUCGCUGUUGGUGCCUAAAUUAUGGCGCCGGUAACCCUAGAAAAGGGCGUCGGGUGCGGCUUUUUGUUGACAUGGCACCCUAGACCUAUAAAAGGCUCACAUUGGACCUCUAGGAGUUGUGGCGGCUGAAGCUCAGAAACAUUACUUUGGACCUCUAGGAGCUGGUUUUGAGCUGUGGGAACUCUCCAUUCUUCCUCCUUGGGUCUCCAUCUUCUCCAUUUUUCUUCCAUUAUAAGCUCAAGCUCUCUGGAGAGCUUAGUUCUUUUUGUUGGGGAAUGAUGUAAACUAUACAACCCAUUUGUAAAUGCACUUGGUUUAAAUGAGAAUAUGCUUCUUUCAUUACUUGCUGUCGCAACCGGAAUCGCGACGGGACGACGACGAUCAAAAAAGAAAAUAAAUUUUGAAAAAGAGAUUAGAGUCGCCACCAUAGUUUAUUCUGGAAAACUACGGAAAAACCAUAAAAAAUAAGGCAAGGUCUACAAAACCAAAUUCUGGUUUCGGAAGUCGGUUACGUGUGGGGAAGGUGUUAACACCCCCACAACGCCUGCCCUAAGGCAGUACCUUUAACUAAAUACGCGAAUUUGAUAUAGUUUGCAAAAUGUUUAAUUUCCCCUAAAAAAAUGAAUAAAUAAAACUCUAAAGAAAACAAAAUAUUUUUGUGUUUUUUGUGCCCGACAAGGAUUGACCUUGCUCCUACGUAUUCUCAGUUGGACUGAGAAAUCAGGGUUACGUAGUUCUGGUUAAAAAGUUGAUCGUUUGUCUGAGAAAAGAUGUUUUGGUAUUUUCGUAAUUUUUUAUGUAAGAGAAAGAAAAGGUCUUCUAGCACAAGGACGAUGCGUGCGAUCACACAUGCGCUAGAAUCCUUAAAAUAUAUUUUUUUAAUUUUUAUUUAUAGAAAAGAAAAGGGUUUUCUAGUACAAGGACGAUGCAUGCGAUCACACAUGUGCUAGAACCCUUAAAAUAUAUUUUUAAUUUUUAUUUAUAGAAAAGAAAAGGGUUUUCUAGUACAAGGACGAUGCGUGCGAUCACACAUGUGCUAGAACCCUUAAAAUAUAUUUUUAAUUUUUAUUUAUAGAAAAGAAAGAGUUUUCUAGCACAAGGACGAUGCGUGCGAUCACACAUGUGCUAGAACCCUUAAAAUAUAUUUUUAAUUUUUAUUUAUAGAAAAGAAAAGGGUUUUCUAGUACAAGGACGAUGCGUGCGAUCACACAUGUGCUAGAACCCUUAAAAUAUAUUUUUAAUUUUUAUUUAUGGAAAAGAAAAGGUUUUUCUAGCACAAGGACGAUGCGUGCGAUCACACAUGUGCUAGAACCCUUAAAAUAUAUUUUUAAUUUUUAUUUAUGGAAAAGAAAGGACUUUCUAGCACAAGGACGAUGCGUGCGAUCACACAUGUGCUAGAACCCUUAAACUAUAUUUUUAAUUUUUGAAUAUUUAUUUAAAAAAGAGAUAAAAUAAAAUAAAUAAAUAAAUAAAUAAAAUAAAAUAGAUAAGUAAAUUACUAAAUAAAAAAGUAAAAAUAAAAUGAAAAGUUAAAUGAUAAAAUAAACUAAAGAAAACUAAAUAACAAGUAAAAUAAAAUAAAAAGGUAAUCAAAUUGGGCCAAGGCCCAAGUGUAAAGGGAGCGAGAUAUUUAGUAGAAAUAGGGGUGCAGAAAUAAGGGGGUGAGAUUUUUGAUUGGUUGCCAAAAUGGGUUUGAGCCCAAAGAGAGGGGAGUUGCGAAUGGAAGCAAAGGGGGUGCAAAAAGAACUUUCUGUUUAAACGCAGAUUGGGUCCAGGCCCAUAUGAAAAGGGGUGGUGAAGAAUAAUAGCGGGGGUGCGGAAACUGUUUUCCUUUGGCCCAGCGCAGGCACUGAAGCCCAAGGCUUCUCAGCAGCAGGAAUUAGGGUUCCUUCCUCCUAAUUCAUUUCACCUCUUUUCAGAAAAAACCAUCAGGGUCUCCUUCCAGAAAGCAAAAAACCCUUCCUCCCCUACGAUUCAUGCCAGCCUCCGUUCGGACAGCCACCACGAAGGACCUUCUACCUGGUCUGAAACGUCGACGGCGACGCGCCACCGGGGCCGCCGCUAUCGUGGCCUUGGAUCCUCUUCUUCUUCCUUGCUCCUAUUCCCGUGUAGAGGGAGAACGCGCCUUCCGCCUUGCAUCGCCGCCGUCACUCGGACCACGAACCAAAGUCGCGCCGGCGAUGCAUCUCGCCGCUUGACCCCAGACGCCGCCGUCGACACCCGUCGGCAACAAGACCUAUCCGCGCACGAAAGGAAAAAACGCGCCGCUUUGCGUUCUUGCCGCCACUACCUCCACCUAAGAUGGCCGCUGCGAAUCGCAGCGGAGAUGCUCUCUCACCGGCGCCACCAGUGGUACCAAUCACCGAUAAGGGAAACGUCAACCUUAACACGUUAACACGUAACGCUUUGUUGAAAUGGGUUGUCUUCCUGACUGAAGAAGGGUUCAUGGUUCGCUCGACGUGCGCCUAUUGCUCAGGGAGUCACUUCCUUCCUUACUAGCAUUCAAGGAUUCCAUAAACUGACCUAGAUUGUGGUUGCUGUAGUUGAUUCUGAGUGUUUGGGUUACCUCUCUUUUCUUGCAGAAAGAUGGCAUUGGGAUCUCGGUAAUAAAAAAUCCAGGUUGAUGACGAUAACCGGGUUGUGUAUGAGAGAUUGAUGAUUUGGUCAGUUUGUUAAACUUAACACUUUCUGUUUCUAGUUGUCAUUUUUACAAUUCUUCGAGUAUUUCUUUGAGGAGAAAGGGAAGGCAUUGAGUCUGAAUGUUGAGGGGUAGCCUAUGCCUAUAUUCUGUUAUCAGCUUAAUGAAUUUUGUGGGCAUUGCAGCUAUGUUUCUUUUAUGCAUUAAUCAACAAGGGAUAUCUCAAAGCAAACGAACCAAAACAUAUACACAUCAUUCGUUCAUAUACAGACAUGUAACAGGGCAUGUAACGCAUACGACCAAGAACUUAGAGAAAACAACUUACCUCCGUUGCCUCAAAGAAUUGAUGAAGUCAAAAUGGUGAUGGUGAGUCCACGGUGGUGAGUCUCCACGUGCUCUGAGAGUUCACUGUAGAGGUGGGGUCAAGAAUGCUCGAGCUUCUGGAGAAGUGAUGGAGGUUUGUGAAUGAUCACGUCGGCAAAAAGAGUCGAAGCUAGUUGGGAACGUUGUUGAUGUUGAGUGAGAAAAUCGGAAUCUCUUGUGGGUUCUUGAGUUCCCUUACUAUGGUUGCUGUGAUAAGGUGAAUGGCUUUAGUGCUGGAGGUCCAGGAGUCAAAAGCUCUCUUAAGCUUUGAUGGUUCGGUGUUGAUGUUGAUGGUGGUGAGUUCCCUCUGUAUUCUGGAUUGUGAGUAAAUGAGUCCGAAUAAUGGUGCUCUUGUUCUUUUCUUCUGGUUUUUUCUCUGUUGUUGUUGUGCUCUCCUCCUGAUGGAUCUCUGCUCUCUCCUCUCUUCUGCUCUCUGUUGUAUCUUUCUUAGAAAACCAAUUUUCAAGAAGGCUCCCCUUCUCUGCUCUGGGAUUUCAUGCUUGUCUUUUUCCUUUUCUUGUCUAUUCAUUGCAUCAGUUGACAAAUGAAACAUUCAAAAUCUUUCUUCUUUGAUGAAUGUGUGCAGUUCACAGUUUAACCUAAGAAAAAUUUGGAAUAGGAACCAGGUCCUUUCUCGCUGCCAUUGCAUACAUACAUUCUAAGCAUUAUCCUGUGUCUUGUGCUGCGGGAAGUAACUUUGCAGGAAGUUGACUUUGAUUUUGUUUUUUUGUUUUUUUUUUUCUUUUUGGCAAAGAGUGUCAGGGGAUAUAAUAUACGCAUACUAUUUAUGAAGACACUCUUAAGUUAAAAUAAAGGAAACAAAUUAAAAGGGAACAAUAGAAAUAGCAAAAUAUAAAGGUAAAAUAAAUCAGAAAAGAGAGAAAAUACUAUAAAAAAAAUAGAAUAAGAUAAAACAAAAUGGAAUAAAAUGAAAUCAAAAUAACAUAAAAUAAAAAUAAAGUAAAAUAAAAUAAAAUAGAAUAAAAUAAAACAAAAUAAGAUAAGAUAAAAUAAAAUAAAAUAUAAAGAGGAGACAAUAAAUAAAAAUGAAACAAAGUAAAAAUAGAGGAUAAAAAAUAAUAGAAAAAGGAAAAGAAAAUCAAACAUGAUCUUUUUUUUUAAAAAAAAAAAAUAAUAAUAAUAAUAAUAAUAAUAAUAAAAAUAAAUAAAUUUAUAUGAAAAUUACCUUUGCCAUGCCAUUUUUAUUUUAUCACUUCUUCUUAACUCUAGAUAUUUUGUUCAAUUACCCGGACGAAAUUGGGUAUUGACACUUGCUAGUGUUUAUUUUCUUUCCUUAAAGCUUGUUAUGACUUAAUCAACCAUAACAUGAUUCUAGGGUUUGCUUAAUAUUUGGAAAUGUUGUGUGAACCUUGAAAUGGACUAAACACCUAAAGGAAAUAGUGUUUAGGGAUAGAGCUAGGACCUUUGGUUGUCUUAAACUUCUUUUCUUAAUGCCGGUGAACUUGUUAGGUGGCCAAGGGUUUGGGAUUUAAGAAGUGAAUCUAGGCUUUCUCACCAAGGGAUUGGGUUUAAGUAACUUAGCAAGUUGACAAGAGCAAGUUAAUGAUGAAGAGUAGCUUUGGGCAUUUGCAUAGGAGAGUAUUAGUUGAAAUUAUUCUCCAACAUAUCCAUCCCAUAUCAUCUUAAAUCAUUUCAUUUUCAAGAGUUUUAACCCCAAGAAGUUCACUUUAUCAAUUAUGCAUUAUGUUUACUUUCGUUUCACAAAUUCACAUUAAAGGAAAUCAUUCUUUAGCUUAAGUUAAUUAGUAAUUAUACGAUAGUAAAGUGUUAACCAAGUCUCUUGGGAAGCGAUAUCUGGUCUUAUCGGUUUUACUACUUGAACGAUUUGGUACGCUUGCCAAAGAGUUAACACAUUUCAAAUCCAUUUUAAGGCCGAAACACGACGUAUAAAGUCCGAUGUCAUGCGAUGCCCACCCGUAGCCCAAACGGCCGACAACCCACUAAUAGGAACCUCUUCAUCAUCAUCGAUGUCAACCCCCCCCCCCCUAACAAGGAGGCCAAUGGCCACCCCAUUGAUAACCCUCUAACCAUAAAUAGGAGGGGACUAAGGCUUUGAGUUGCUCUCCCGCUCGGUUGUCUCAAGGUAAGAAGACGAAACAGAGCUCGGAGAUGAAGACCGAUUGUCCCUAACCGCUGCUUCUGCUCAAUGACUCCUCAGACGAGAUGACAUGCACAUUACUCAUUAUUAUUACCUUGGAAGAAAGAAUAUGAAAAGCAAGCUGGACGGUAUGCAGAGCAAGAGAAAGGAGAAUAGUGAAAAUGGCGGGGCACCCAUCCCCUAUUUAUAGGAAAAUUUUGGAAACUACCAGCCCAUCACUGCCGUUAAAGUUUGCCACGUUCAACGGUCCUGAUCGAGCGACCUUACCACUACCUGAGAAAAAGAUUGCAUGCACAAACAACACAUGUUUUCCC